AAUUCACCAAGUGGGUCGAAGCAGAGCCUGUUGGCAGCUGUGACGCGGAAACGGCCAUCAAAUUCUUGAAAAAAUUGAUAUCCCGGUUUGGAUACCCACACAGCAUUAUCACUGAUAAAGGUACCAACUUAUCACAAGGGGCGAUGCAGGAGUUUUGCAACCGGGAGCAUAUUCGGCUUGAUGUGUUUGCGGUUGCUCGUCCACAAUCUAAUGGGCAGGCAGAACGGGCGAAUCAGGAAGUGCUGCGGGGAAUCAAACCCCGACUUAUGUUUCCCCUGGAACGCACCCCAGGGUGUUGGGUUGAGGAGUUGCCUUCGGUAUUAUGGAGCAUUCGAACCACCCCGAAUCGUUCUAUGGGUUUUACUCCUUUCUUCUUGGUAUACGGAGUAGAAGCCGUUCUUCCCGGUGACAUUAGGCAUGACUCGCCCCGAGUCGCCGCUUAUGUGGAGUAGGAUAAUGAGUUGGCACAUCAAGAUUCUUUGGAUGCUUUGGAGGAAGCACGCGAGUUGGCUGCCUCCCGAUCGACUAUCUAUCAGCAAGACUUGCGGCGUUAUAAUAGCCUCCGGGUCAAGAGCCGAGCUUUUCAAGAGGGCGACUUAGUGCUCCGGUUGAUCCAAGAUCGCACUAGCAUGCAUAAGUUGUCACCGCCAUGGGAAGGACCGUUUGUCAUCAACAAAAAUCUUCGCAAUGGGUCAUACUAUUUGGUGGAUCUUCGGCCUGAUCGGCCAACGACGGAGGCUAAGUCAACUCGCCCCUGGAACAUAGCCCAUGUGCGGCCUUACUACACUUGAGCUAUUGGCUCCCCUUUUUCCUUUCUCUCCCAUCUUUGGAAAUUGUAAGUCCUUUGUUUAUAUAAAGCAAUAAAGUCGAUACCCACGAAUUUUGGGUUUUCCUGCCACUUCAUCUUCUUGAAAGCAUGGAUCUUUAUUGUCCUUCAACAAGUCACCCAAGCAUGGACGCUAUCAAUACCAGAGAGCAUAAGUCGCCAUGCUGCACUUAUUACAACACUGGGUAUCGAUAAGCCAAAGAGGAUCAAGUCGCUACAAGCGCACGAUUCAAACAUGGGCACCUUAUAUGAUUCUUAGGAUUAGGCCGGCUUACUUGGGGGCUAUCAGCUCCCAAGUCGUUUUGUGGUAAGAGCGUAUACGCUUCUACAAUCCUAUGACCAGUCUUUCCCCUAAUCAUAGGUCACUUGGGGGCUUCCUCUCACUGAGAUCAGCCUAACUACCCAUUUGGCUAGCGAAAAAUUACCGCACUAAAAAUGGUUAUACUGGACUGUGUGUUGGCCAAAUCGCCAUAUGGAACCAUGAACUCUUGGCGAGUCAAUCCGCUAUUUGGACCCUGAACUCACCUUGGUUAAAAUAUGCAUGGUACCGGCUAGUGCCCCACAUGGAAAAUAGAGAAACCAUUGGUUCAUUGAACCUGCUUCACCGAAGCUUGACUCGCGCCUGAUCAGCCGGUCUAAAUACUUGAUCUUUUUUGCACAAAAACUCUCCUUUGGGUAGCACUUGAGUUUUUCUAACUCGUCCUAUCCUGUCGCGAGUUGAACGAGCCAACGAAAUUCUUACUAUCACCUUCCUGGCACUGCCAUAAGGUUUCACAGAUCUAUGAGACUCGCCGUGUCUCGUUGAGCCGGGUUUCUUCAUACAAUUUGCCAAGACACCUUGAGUCGGUUAUUAUUUAUCAUCAUCCAUUACUCAUUGAGAUGGUUUGAUAUAUGCUUUUGCUAGCCAAACAGGUUGGUGAUCGAAUCUUUACUGACAUGGCGGGUCAAGCAUCAUGGCACUCCAAGGGCGGCACAAGGUUUUUUCAAAGGUCACAGAAGAGUUCCACAACAGACAUAAGCAAAGGAUUGUUUUCUACAAUGACCUAUUACAUGGCUCAGAUGGCCAAAUCAGUAGGGUCUAUUCUGCUGGUGCCUCCGGGUCAACUUGCCUCGAGCUGUGGCCGACUUCAAGUUGUAAAUCGCGAAGUACCCAAUUACACUUGGAUAGAGCGGCAAAUUCGUCUUCAUCGUUCANNNNNNNNNNNNNNNNNNNNNNNNNNNNNNNNNNNNNNNNNNNNNNNNNNNAGAUCCGACUCCAAAUCAAAAGGUUCUUGGAUCGACGAGGAGUUAAGCUGGUUGUCACAAAUGCAGGCGGGUUUACUUUCUUGUUCUUGUCAUCAUAAGUGGCUUGGUACUUUGAUAAAUCCAAACUUGCUGCUAGCUGAGUCGCCGCCGAGCGUGAUUCCUUGACGACGCAAUGAUAAUCAUCUUGAGUAAACUCUGACUCGUCAUCCUUGAGCUGUGGGAAGCCUGCUGCUACCUCUUCGGGCUUCAGUUCUGGAGCAUACGCCAAACACCGACACAAGGUAGCCAGCGCCCCUUCCGGGCGGCUGAUCGGGUUAGCUCACCUAUCUGAGGCGGAAGGGUGGAUAAGCAUCCAAGCAUCUUUUUGAUUCAUGUGAUUGGUUCCUUGGUGCCCAUCACUGCCUUCAUGAUCAGCAUGCUCCCAGUACACAGCUGCUCAGUCAGUGUGUAAAUCGCCUUUAACUUCAAGAUGCAGUCGUCCUGAAGGUUGGCGGCUCUCGGGCCUGCGUGAGAAAGACAAAUGAUGGUUCGUACUUUGUUUUUUUCACACUAAUUUUUUAUUUUAGAGAUACGAAACCAGGAAUUCCUUCUUACCAAAGAUGGUCCGUGUCAUGCUGGAAAUAUGUUUCUUUAAACCGGCCAGUUCUUGUUGCAUCGCUCCCAAUUUUGUUUCAGUCGUUUCAGCUCGCUUUAGCGUGGUGGCUUGAUCAACUUGAGAUUUCUUGUCGGCGGCUUUCAGCUUUUCCAUAUUAGCUAAGAUUUCCUGUUAUUUUUCUUCUGCUUGAGCCCGCGCGUCUUGCUGGUCGGCUAAACUUUUCUUUAAGUCGCCCAACGUUGACUCGGCUUGGGCUAUAGAUUCCUGUCAACAUAUUUUGGAGGGACAAGUCUCAGAAUUGUUGCAAGCAACAUCCCUGACACUUGGGGGCUAAUGUAUAAUUUAAAAAAAAAACAAAAUUAUACCACAAGCAAGACCCGACUCAUCUUUCAAUAGAUGACCCGACCCUUGGGGGUUACGGGUCAAAGAUUUUUUAUACAUCAAGACCCGGAUCAUCUUUCAAAAGAUAACCCGGCCCUUGGGGGUUACAGGUCGAAGAUUUUUUCUACAUCAAGACCCGGCUCAUCUUUCAAAAUAUGACGGGGGUUAUAGGUCGAAGAUUUUUUCUAAGUCAAGACCUGGCUCAUCUUUCAAAAGAUGACCCGACCCUUAUGGGUUACAGGUCGGAAGAUUUUCUAACGCAAGACCCGGCUCAUCUUUCAAUAAGAUGACCCGGGCCUUGGGGGCUAAUGAGGAGGGUAUGCAUUAAGGCGUACCUCAUGUUUAUUCUUCAUCAUAUGGAGUAGGUUCUUCUCCAUUUCAUAACUUGUUUCUAGGCGACUUGCGAAGCCGGAGCAGAGUUCAUCAAACUCAAGUUUUUCAUAUUGAGGAAGUUUGGCCUUGGAGAUCUCAUGUCUGGUGGAAGGAUGGGACGAUGUUGAUACAUGCUGUGAUAAGAUUGCUGAAGCCGGCUUAGAGAAGACAGUACUAGUAAUGACCACAACAUCAGGAUCUUCAGCCGCCUUCAACGGACUUGGCGGGUUGGUUGUUUCCAUGCCUUCCUUGGGAGAACUUGGAAGGUCAAUUCGGUCAUCAGUAUAUCUUUUGUCGGGUCAACAUGAGCCGGUGCUGGGUCUUCUUUAAGCUGUGGGGCAGAAGGAGUGGAAGUUGGGCCGCCGGUUUUCCUCUUCUUUGCUUGCGCUCUAAGAAAAAUAGGGUCAUGUUUAAAGCAAGCAUCAUUAUCAUCAGGAAAGACAUAAGUAUUAUAAGGACUUACCAUUGUACGCGAAUCAUUGGCGGAAGGGCCGACAUCACUGAGUAGCCCGAUGAAGGGGGGAAAGUCUGCAAAAGUAAUAUCUCAAAAUAUGAGCGAGUUACAAGUGUGAUCCAAUAGAAAACAAAGGUAGAAAUUGAUAGAGGGUACCUCCUUUCGCCGUUUCUUGGUAGGGGUUUUUAUUGGUAACCCGAACAUCAAAUCCACUGAGUGGCUUCGAGUUUUCCGAAAGGAAGUGUGUUGCGACUUCUUCAAGAGGAAAUUAGGGUCUAGACAAGCAUUCGGGUGAGACAUGGGAACUUUCCCACAAACUCGCCUGGCCGACUUAGGCGAAGGAGAAGUUGAGUCGGAAGAAAUGGAAAUUACCUCUACGGCGUCAUCCUGGCUUUCGUUAUCAUCAUUCUAUACAUGGAAAUGCAGAGAUAUAAGCACAAAUUAGAGUAAAAGUGCGUCAAGACAAAAAGGAUAAAAUUUUACCUCUGAAGACGCUUCGCCGACUUGGGAUUCGUCCACAUCAGACGAUUUGGCGACAGCGGCUUGGUUUUUACCCUUGGACUUCUUUUUAGGAGGCGAUUUGGUUUGCUUCAGGGCAAGCUUCUUCGGCCUUCGUGACCAGAAUCGGUCGCCCUUCUGAGGUGGAAUUAUCAUUAUGCAAGUCAGAAUCCGGGUAAGUUGNNNNNNNNNNNNNNNNNNNNNNNNNNNNNNNNNNNAAAGAGUGAACCAAGGGCGGGCCAAAUUAUUUACCUUAGGAGCCGGGUUAAUCUUGCAAAAUGGCCUAAGCCCUAUUUGGCUACAUUUGGCCAAAGGCUCGCCGGUUUGCUUCUUGAUGAUGCUCACAAUGUCUUCCUCUGUGAGUGCUAUGUGGAAGUAGCAUUGAGGAUGGUUCAAAGUACCAGCAAACUUGCACAUCAAGCCGUCUAGGCGACUCAAGGGAAGGAUGUGCCAUUCCACCCAGCAGCGGAUCAGAUCAACUCCAGUAAGACCAAUGUUUGUUAAAGAUCGUAACUCGGAUAGCACUCGAAUGAAAUCUGAUUCAUCUUCUUCGGUGAGCUUGUCAGGAAGUUUGAAGUUUGUGGGCAGACGCUCCUUCCUGUAGCCUAGGAGUUUGUUCUCACCCAGAGGAGAAGUGUCCCGAUAAUAAAACCAAGACUCGGCCCAGCCUUUGGGGUGGCUGGGCAUGGCGAGUGAUGGGAAUGGACUGUCCUUGCGUUGUUGAACAUUAACCCCUCCAAGUUCUAAGCUAGGGCCAUUGGAGAACUCGGUCUGGCGAUUCAGGUGGAAGAAAUACCAAAACAAAGUGACCGACGGUUCCAUUCGUAGGUAAGCUUCACAGAAUACCUGGAAUUAGCACAUGUUGCUGAUCGAGUUGGGGCCCAGGUCUUGUAGGCAGAUGUUCAUAAAAAACAUAGCAUCUCUGAGGAACUUUGACCCUGGCUGCUAAAACCCUCGUUCGAGGUGGUCAGCAUAAACAACUAUUUCCCCUUCGGCCGAGUUGGGAAUUUCGUCGCCUAGUCCAGAUCGUCAUCCAAUGACUUCCUACGGGUCAAGGUUCCAUGUAUUUACGCACUGCUCGAGGAAGGUGUCGUCAAUUUUGGUCGGGAGCCAGUCGGCCUUAAAAACGGUACCCAUAGCUACAGAGGAAAAGGUCAUGGGUAAGUUAACCCGCCAAAACGCUUGUCGAGUGGUUGGGAGAAUCUAUUAACUGGCCAACAAGGGACCAGGUUUGGGCACGAGGGCGAUUUAGGAAUUUCCCAUUACUCACAGGAGGUACCUCAGGGCAUCAAAAACAUGCAGAAAAAUGACGAGGCAUGAAUCUACAAACAGUCUUCUACAUAGCAAGCAAUGCAACGGGGAUGUGCGAGCAAGGUAAAAUAACGGAGAAAACCUGGAUAAAGUGAAACAGAUCACGGUUGAAAGCAACUACGGCAGGGGUGAUUUAACCAAAGCCCUCUUGGUUCUCUAAACCGAAAUUAAAUGGAUUGGAGAUGUGGUCGGUGCUAAUAUGCUAAGCUACCACAUUGGAUCGAUUGGCAAACGCCGAGGAGUUCAAGGAGUUCUAGGGCGCAGCGAAUGGCGAACGUUGAAAGGCUCGGAUCUGUUCGUAAUGGUGGAAGACUAACCUGUUAAACAACGUCCGGAGGCGAUUGUACAGACCCGCGGUGGAGAUGGUGUGCCCGUUUAGCUCGACGAUGCGACGGACGCAGUGGCCGACGGCGGAGACCCUCGGGCGACGAUGGAGCUCGUCGGGCGGCGGCGGAGUUCCUUGUGUGGCUUCGAGGAAGAAGAAGAAACAGAAGAAGAAUGGGCAAAGAUUCCCUCUGCCCCCAUUCUCGAGCCUAUUUAAUAGGUCAGGUGCGGGGAUCAAGGCGCCUCGCGCAGGAACCGAAGGGGGCAAAUUAAAGAUUCGCACUUAUGGCUCCAAUAUUUUCGGGAUAUUUGCGCCGAGAGAUCCGUUGGGGAUUGCGUCAUCAUUUUCUGGAAUUAAAGGGAUAAGGUGACGUCACCGUAAACGGUUCGGCGACUUGGGUAUUUCCAUGGUGGAUGGCGGCUUAAGCGUAUGGUGCACGAGAAAGGUGGAAUGAGUCGUUCCUAAAGUAGGUAAAAGUUUAUUGGCGUGAACAGGUUCAAGUCAAUAUGGGGCCUAAUGNNNNNNNNNNNNNNNNNNNNNNNNNNNNNNNNNNNNNNNNNNNNNNNNNNNNNNNNNNNNNNNNNNNNNNNNNNNNNNNNNNNNNNNNNNNNNNNNNNNNUAAGUCAUCAGGGAGUCUUCGAGUCUUGGAAAGCACGGCGAUUUAGAAACUAAAGGAAUCACGACUUGUGUUAUGGCAAGGACUCUUGUAAACCCUAGGGCCUCGACCUGUAUAUAAAGGCGAGCCCCUGGAGAGGGGAGGUCAGGUUAGAAAUCAUCGAGAGCUAGGUCAGGCGAGUUACGCCCUCCUUGUAAUCGAAACAUCAUCAAUACAACACUAGAAGGACAUAGGCUUUUACCUCACCACGAGGGGCCGAACCUGGGUAAAACCGAGUCCCUCUUCCACUCAAACCCCUUUGAGUCGCCACCAAGGUGCGAUGGCUCCAUCAUUAAGUCCUUUCACUAGGAAAUCUGCCGUGAGAAAACCACGACAAUAACCAUGGAGGCCAUCAUUCCAAUGGAGGGAGUUUGCAUAAUCAUAAUGGCCCCAAGAAUGGGAAUGGGAAUGGAGGAAGCAACGGACAGAACCGUUCCAACCCAGCAACGCCCGCCAAGAAGGAUCUAAGUCACAUUAGUUGUUUUUAGUGCGGGAAUAAUGGACAUUACGCCAUGGAGUGUCCUAAAGCAAAGAAUGGAAAUGGCAAUGGAAGCUCUGGGAAUAAGCCCAACCCUUUCAACAGGGGACAAGUGAACCAUGCUAGCAUGGAGGAGGUUGAAGCGCAACCCGAUUCAGUACUAGGUAAGUUUUUGGUUAGGUCAUUUACUGCAAUCGUUCUUUUCGAUACUGGAUAAGUAUAACCUGCCAACCCAAGCCCUUAGGUCACCCAUGUUAGUAACCUCGCCAGGAGCAGAGUACAUGGCUAGCCUAUGGUGUGAUCUGUUACCAUUAAGGAUUGGUAACUACGUGUUCCCCUCAGACCUAAUAGUAUUGGAGUCACAAGGACUGGAUGUAAUAUUAGGUAUGCAUUGGUUAUUGAAGUAUGGAGGGAACAUUGACUGCGCCAGUAAGUCGAUUUUUCUCACCAGCCCAGAAGGAAGAAGGAUUAAGUAUGUAUCCCGGCAUGUGCCGAAGAGAACUCUAGUAAAUUCCUUAUCAGGAGUUGUACAGGAGGAAGUACUAGUGGUGAAGGAUUUCCCUGAUGUAUUCCCAAAGGAGUUGCCAGGCAUGCCACCAGACAGAGACAUUGAGUUUUUGAUUGAGCUUUUGCCAGGCACAGGGCCAAUAUCUAAGAGACCGUAUCGGAUGCCCGCAAAGGAUUCGGAAACAAUUAAGAAAUAGAUUAAGGAGUUACUGGAUAGAGGCUAUAUUCGCCCAAGUUCGUCACCUUGGGGAUCACAAGUGCUUCUAGUGGAGAACAAGGAUGGAUCGUUGAGAAUGGUAGUGGAUUAUCGAGGAUUGAAUGAAGUGGAAAUGAAGAACAAGUAUCCACUGCAAAUGAUCAAUGAUUUGUUUGACCAAUUGCAAGGAGCUAAAUUAUUCUUCAAGAUCGAUCUGCGAUCACGAUACCACCAGCUAAAGGUUUGAGAGCAGGAUAUACCUAAGACAGCUUUUACCACAAGGUAUGGGCUAUAUGAGUAUACCGUUAUGUCAUUUGGUCUCACUAACGCACCUGCCUAUUUCAUGAACAUGAUGAACAAGGUGUUUAUGGAGUUUUUGGAUAAGUUCGUCGUGGUGUUCAUUGAUGAUAUUCUGGUCUACUCGAAGAAUGAAGAGGAGCAUAAGGAGCAUUUGUGUUUGGUACAUGGGAAACUCCGAGAACAUCAGUUAUAUGCGAAGUUCAGCAAGUGUUAGUUUUGGUUGAAGGAAGUUGGUUUCCUUGGACAUGUUAUAUCCGAAGAAGGAAUAGCAGUAGACCCCACCAAAGUUGUCACAGUGACUAAUUGGGAACCACCCACGUCAGUUGGAGAGAUCUGGAGUUUUCUUGGACUCGCAGGAUACUACCGGAGAUUCAUUGAGAAUUUCUCUAAGAUUGCAAAGCCCAUGACGGAGUUGUUGAAGGACACCAAGUUCAAAUGGACUGAGGAAUGUGAAGCCGGUUUUCGGGAGUUGAAGAAACGCUUGGUUACAGCCCCACUGCUGAUUCUCCCCGAUCAACGCAAGGAUUAUCAAGUGUAUUGCGACGCUUCUCGUCGAGGACUUGGAGCAGUGUUGAUGCAGGAGGGAAGAGUUGUUUCGGAUGCCUCAGGACAGCUUAAACCCCAUGAGUUGAACUAUGCUACCCAUGAUUUGGAGUUAGCAGCCGUAGUGCAUGUGUUGAAAAAGUGGAGACAUUUUCUCACCGGAAACCACUGUGAGGUGUACACAAAUCACAAGAGUUUGAAGUAUACUUUCACACAGAAGGAGUUGAAUCUUAGACCAAGGAGAUGUUUGGAGCUCAUCAAGGAUUUUGAUAUGAGGUUGCACUAUCAUCUCGGAAAGCCUAAUGUAGUAGUCGAUGCGUUGAGUCGCAAAAGUCAUGUCAAUACACUCAUGACCAGAGGAUUACCUGAGGAGUUAGCAGAAGAUCUUCGCGAGCUAUGGUUGGAAAUAGUUUCGAGAGGUUAUGUACUAGCAUUGGAGAUUCAGUCUACCCUGAUGGAUAAGAUUAGAGAAGCCCAGAAGACUGACAAAGAGAUUGCCAAGAUAAAGGAAAGGAUGAGCAAAGGAAAGGCUAAAGGAUUUCGUGAGGAUGAGCACGAUACCUUAUGGUUGAGGAUCGCGUAUAUGUGCCUAAUGACCCCGAGAUCAGGAAGUUGAUUCUGCAGGAGGCCCACGAUUCACCGUAUUCGAUUCACCCAGGAAAUACCAAGAUGUAUCUGAAUUUGAAGGACAGUUUCUGGUGGACCGGAAUGAAGAACGAUAUUGCGGAGUAUGUAGCAGUUUGUGAUGUAUUUCAGAGAGUGAAGGCGGAGCAUCAGAAGCCAGCAGGUUUGCUACAACCAUUGCAGAUACCCGAAUGGAAGUGGGACAACCUAGGAAUGGAUUUUAUAACGGGAUUGCCCAGGACUCGUUCAGGCUAUGACUCGAUUUGGGUUAUAGUCGAUCGUUUGACGAAGGUAGCUCAUUUCAUCCCAGUAAAGACCGCUUACACCAGUGCUAAGUUGGCAAAGAUAUACAUGACCAGGAUCGUAUGUCUGCAUGGAGUUCCGAGGACCAUUAUAUCAGAUAGAGGAACCCAGUUUACCUCAUAGUUCUAGAAUCAGUUGCAUGAAACGUUGGGUACCAGGCUAGAGUUUAGUACAACCUUUCAGCCUAAGACAUAUGGACAGACCGGGAGAGUCAAUCAGAUUUUAGAGGACUUGUUGAGAGCUUGUGCGCUAGAUUAUGGAUCUAGUUGGGACGACAAUUUGCCGUAUGCAGAGGUAUCUUACAAUAAUAGCUAUCAAGCCAGUUUGAAGUUGGCCCCUAUCGAAGCCUUGUACGGAAGGAGGUGCAGGAUACCGUUGUUAUGGGAUGAAGUUGGAGACCAUCAGUUGUUUGGACGGGAUUUGAUUAAGGAGUCUGAAGAGAAGGUUAAGUUUAUUCGCGAUAGACUCAAGGUAGCCUAGUCCAAGCAGAAGAGUUAUGCGAAUUCAAAACGCAACGAGACAAUUCAUGAAGUUGGAGACAAAGUUUAUCUUUGUGUGUCCCCACUUCGAGGUGUUAAGCAUUUUGGAGUUAAGGGAAAGUUAUCACCAUGUUUUGUGGGACCAUAUAUAGUUUUGGAGCGUAUGGGAGAAGUUGUUUAUAGGUUGGAAUUGCGAGAAGGAUUGUCAGGAGUUCCUGAUGUGUUCCAUGUUUCCCAGUUGAAGAAGUGCCACACAGAUAUGGCCAAUAUUCCUGUAAGAGAUACAGUGCCACUGGAAGCGAUUUAGUUGGAUAGCGAUUUAACUUACGAGGAGAAACCAUUGAAGAUUCUCGAGUUUGCCAGCCGAGUCACACGCAUCAAGGUUAUCAAGUUCUGCAAAGUUCAAUGGAGCCACCAUACCGAGGAUGAAGCCACCUGGGAAUGAGAAGAAGACCUACGGUAGGAUCACCCACACCUAUUCUCUAGCCAACCCGAAUCUCAAGGGCGAGAUUCAUCUGAAGGGGGUAGGUUUGUAACAUCCCGAAUUUUCAAUUUGGAAUGUUAUGCAUUAGAUCAUCAUUGCAUAUCAUAUUUUAUUGCAUUCUUGGUUGAUCCUAGAAAUUCUACGCAACUCAAGGACCCACGGAGAGUGUUGGGGAAUUUUCUAUUUUCAUAAUUGAGUUUUCCCAAAUUUUGAAAAGAGGAUCAUUCGGUUUUAAUUAUUUUCUCUUCAAAUAUUUCUAAAUAUAAAAUAAAACAGAGGGGAUAAAAUGACUUCCCCCAAAGAAAGAAAUAUUGGUGGAAAAAUAUUAAAAUCAAAUAGGAAUUUUAUUCAGAGUUUUAUUGCUAUUUUAUUUCAAUUAGAAAAAAUCCGUUUUUCAAAAUUGCAUUAGAGGCCCCAAUAAAUGUUCACCUUGUUCGUCAUAUUUUUAGAGGACGGGGAAAAUUUAUUUCAAGACUUUUGGAGUCUGUUUGAUAUUUCUUUUUAUUUAUCUUCUCCGCAUCGGAAUUAUUUAAAAAAAAGUCAAACCAUUUAAACGGGCCAUGUCCGACCGGGACUCUAUCCCGUCGGCCUUUAUAAGCCCAGCCGAGGCGCCCCGGAAACCCUCGUCGCCGCGCCGCUCAGCCGCGCCGCCGCCGCGCCGCCCAGCCGCCUCGCCGCCGUGCCGCCUCGCCGCCCCAUCGCCGACCCCGCCCUGAGGUAACCGGGUUUUUUAAAUAAAACCCUAGAUUUAUUUUUAGAUCAGUUUUAUUAUUUUAUUUCCGGUUUAUUUAAUUAGCGUACGUUCGUCUGUACGUUCGUUUUAACGAACGAUGUUCAUCCGUUAGCCGCAGACAGCGAACGUUCGUUCGUUAGCCUGUUUGUCAGUUUUUAUUUUUCCAUGGAUUUUCCACGAUUAUUUCUGAUCGCGAUUUCUGGACUGAUUUUCGUUUUAGUUUAUCUUUUCGCUCGUUUAUCGGAAUCAGGUGGUUCAAACGCCCAGAUCUUUUUCUCGAAACCCUCUUUCUGUUUAACCAACUUGAACAAGAUUUUUGUACUGUAAAAGUUGACUCUAGUCCAAAUUAGUAAACAAACUUGUUUCUUUCGCAGUUUGAGUUUCGCUGCUUCAUUUGUUUUGAUUCUUUUUGCAAACCGGAGUUCUUCAGUUGAACUUUCUGGUUAGAUCUCUUAUCUGAGUUUUCCCCGUGCAUCUAGUUUGAGUGCUUAUGUAUGUUAUUGUUUGUUUACGAUAGAGUACCCGGAGUGCGAAGCGUGCUACUAGUCUCUAGGUUUUGUGGAUCAUCAGCAAGGCAACUAACCCUUUGAUCAUACCUCUUUACUACCAAGUUUUAUUGCAUCAGAUCAACCCUCAACAUUGCAUGGUUAGGAUAUGAUUAACAUGUGGGUUUUGGGAAGUAGAUGAUGAGGUAGAACCUAUUGUCCUGUUUAUUAUCAAAUCUUUGGGAGUUACUUCUACGAUUUGCUUAUUGCUAUGCUAUGCUCGUUGACGUGGAUUGGGUGAGUGUAUCCAUGACAGAUGUGAGUAUUGUUAAUUAAUUGUUCACUUAAGGUGGCUACUUGAAUACACAUCUGGGUGGAUUGCUUGAGGCACCUUGGGGUACCCAGUGGUCGUCAGGGCACCUGGAGAAAUCCAGUGUUGUCCUAGGAUAUCACGGAGUAACCGUGUGAUCAUCCUACGGUCCGGCACACAGGCUCAAACGAAUCAUAAGAUUAUUCAUUCUAGAAACUUCCGUGGGCAGCCACAAGCCAUUAUGGGCUCUGGCAUAGUUGAGUAAGUUGCGUGAAGCUCUUGAAGCGGUAGACUAGCAGAUGUAGUGGGUUGUAGGUGGUACGGUCUACCGAGAGUAGAGAGUUAAUGCUUCAGAAAGACUAUGUCUUGAAUCUCUGACCAUGGAUGUAUUCGAGUCUUGUGGGAAAAGUGUGCAAACCUCUGCAGAGUGUAGAAACUAAUCAUCGUUAGCCGUGUCCCCGAUUAUAGACAUCUUGAGUAUCUGGUUCCUGGAUUAUCAUGUUGAUCUCAUCACUCUAAAUAAAUUUGUUGGGUUUAAUGAUGAUGCUUAAUUGGGAUUGAGNNNNNNNNNNNNNNNNNNNNNNNNNNNNNNNNNNNNNNNNNNNNNNNNNNNNNNNNNNNNNNNNNNNNNNNNNNNNNNNNNNNNNNNNNNNNNNNNNNNNGGUUGCCUUCAUUUUAUGGAAAGCAAUGUAUUUGUGAACAAUGAUAUCAAGAUUUUUCAAGGAAUAAUUUGGAUACCUUUCCUAUAUGUCUUUCCACAAAGUAUGAGCACACUCAAAGUUUUGCAACUGAUUAAUCACGUUUCUUGGUAAACCUCUAAUGAUAAGAUUGACGGUGUUGAGGUUGCCAAGCAUGUUAACUUCAUCAUCAUGAGAAGGAUCUAUGGGGUCAAUGGGAGGUGCAUAGGGAUAUUCAAUAUACUUGCGCAAAUGGAACUCAUCGAAUAUGUCAAGCUUUUCGUCUUUCCAUUGUCUAAAGUACUCCCCAUCAAAAAUAGGCACUCUACAACUAAAAAUCUAAGAACUAGUCACAUUCAUCUUCCUCCAAUGGCUGUUAAACCAAGGUUUUGGUGACCUUGCUCUGAUACCACUUGAGGGAUCGAUAUAAGAUGUCUCUGGGGGGGGGGGAAUAUGCUACUUGUCAAGAUAAAAUUUCUAGCCUAGCCAAAUUUCUAGGAGGGCAGAAAUCUAGCAGUUCUAACAAGUCCACAUACCCUACACAAGCAGUUCUAAGAGUCUAGCAGCGGAAAGUAAAACAUGCAAGUGUAAAGUAGAGGAGAAGGGAAGCAAGAUCAAACGCAUGGGGUUGACACGAUAAUUUUUGGCAUGGUUCCGAUAGGUGGCGCUAUCGUACGUCCAUGUUAGUGGAGACUUCAACCCACGGAGGGUAACGGCUGCGAGAGUCCAUGGAGGGCUCCACCCACGGAGGGUCCACAAAAAAACAGCUUUGUCUAUCCCCCCGAGGCUUCCUUCCACGGAGGACUAGUGUUACUCACGGUAGAUAUUCAUGAAGUAGGAGAUAUCCUUGCCCUUACAAACAUCUUUGUUCAACUCCACAACAUGAAGUAGGAGGCUCCCAAGCGAGACCUAACCAAUCUAGGAGGCACCAUGCUCCAAAAGGUAAUAUAUGUGGUAGAUCAAUGAACUCCUUGCUCUUGUGCUUAUAAAGAUAGUCUCCUCAACACAAAUAUCUCUCUCACAGAAUAUGCAUGGGUAGGAGAGGUUGACUUGGUGGAAAGCAGUUUGGGGAGGCUAGAGAUCAAUAUUCAAAUGAUUGGAUUGGAAUAUUUUGGAAUAUUCAAGGUAAUAUGUUGGUGACACCGAAUUUGUGAAUGUGGAACUUUAUAGAGUGGAUAUGUGGGAACAAUGACCGAGUGUUUUGGUGGCUAACUUUGAGCAUUUGAGCAAUCAGUUCAUUUUACUACCUCACCCGCUUUUAAUAGUAUUGGCUUUCCUAUGGACUCCAAAGUGAUUUCUCACAAGUAUGAAAUGAAGAGUCUUCUAGCUUGAAGCUUGAGCCAAUAUUAUUCCUUUCUUGCAUCCAGGGGCAUCUCCACAUAAACCUUAAGCCAUAGCUCUUCAUGGACUAAACCUGAAAUAUCUAGGUAAAAGUAUUAGUCCAAGAGGCAAUGUAUGUUGUCAUGAAUUAUCAAAAUCACCAAGGGAGUAUCUGUGCUUGCAAUGGUGUUGCAAUACGUUCUUGAUUCUCUUAUAGUGGGUGGCUAGAGUGACACAAGAUUACACCCGAGUAAGGGGGUUGUUGCGUAUGGUAGUAAAUGGGAAUUGAUGUUUACUGCUAUUGUUGGGUUUACCUUAAUGAUUUCUUGGAUUUGCGGAUUCUUGCUAGAGGUCCAAUCAUAAGUUCAUAUGAUCCAAGUAUGAAAACUAUGUUAGCUCAUGCCUCUCCGACAUAUAAAAUUGCAAUAAUGAUUACUGAUCUUGUUAUCAAUUACCUUGGAAAAUUCCGCACACCAUACCAUAAUUAUUCCACCCUUGCUUUUUUUAAUAUAAUAUAAUAUAUGCUAAAUUAUUUAGGCAUCAACUAUUUUUCAUAUUUUAGUUCUCCAAUAUCAUGCAAAGCUAUCCUCUUUAUACCUAGAGCACAAUUUUAUUUCUCCUUUCUAGUUAGAAGCAACUAGUGUGUGUACAUGGAGUUGUAUUAGUCGCAUAUAGGACUUGACAGAAUAUUGAUCUUACUUUUAGCUCCUUGUGGGUUUGACACUCCAUACUUACUACUUCCAUAUUUGGAAAGUGCUAUGAUGAUUCCUUGCACUUGGGGAUCAUCAGUCUCUAGUNNNNNNNNNNNNNNNNNNNNNNNNNNNNNNNNNNNNNNNNNNNNNNNNNNNNNNNNNNNNNNNNNNNNNNNNNNNNNNNNNNNNNNNNNNNNNNNNNNNNCUCACUUUGCAAACAAUCUAUAAGGGAUUGACAACCCCUUCAUAGUGUUGGGUGCAAGCUCUUUGUGUUUGUGCAGGUACUUGUGACUUGACUCGAUCCUCCUACUGGAUUGAUACCUUGGUUCUCAAACUGAGGGAUAUACUUACCGCCGCUGUGCUACAUCACCCUUUCCUCUUCAAGGGAACACCAACGCAAGGCUCCAAGGCCGCGGGGCUACAUCACCCUUUCCUCUUCAAGGGAACACCAACGCAGGGCUCCAAGGCCGCGAGGAAAUCCUUUGCAUAUUUGCCAAGGAAGUCCAUAUAGGCGUAGCCCGUAGCAGAAGGAUUCCUGGCGCCGUUGCUAGGGAAGGUCUUUUGUUGCCGUAGCAGUACCCUUGGAUAGCAAGGAUGGACGUCGUUCUUUUAUCGUUUGUCUUCGUACGUAGUCGGACCCUGCUCUUCAUCAUGAUGACUGUAUAUUGUUGUAUUGAUGUGAUCUUGAUGUAUCUUGUGGCAAGUGUAAGCCAACUCCUUAUACUUAUCUUUUCAGUACAUGUACUUGUAACGAUAUCCAUUCUUGCGAAACGGCGAGAUGUGUUUCAAUUCCUGUCGAGGCCCUCGCGCCAAAAUAAGGAUAGGACCGCAUCUUGGGUUUUACAAUGUGGCACUAAGAUAUAUUGUGAUGUGCUGACAAUUUGGUUAGUGGAACUAAUGCCAGUUUGUAGAGUUUACCUCGGGAUAUUGGUUUCACGGAGAUCCCAUUGGAGUUGUGUGACCACCCAUAAUAGGGGAUUUGUGGUGCGAGAGUUGCAACCUGAAAAGUGCAUGUGGCACUAAGAUAUAUAGUGAUGUGAUGACAAUCUGGUUAGUGGAACUAAUAUCAGUUUGUAGAGUUUAUCUUAGGAUAUUGGUUUCACAGAGAUUCCAUUGGACUUGUGUGACCCCCCACCAUUCAAAAAGGUCAAGUCGUAUUUACCGAUGACUCAAAGGUUUUUGUUGGUUUGAUUUGAGUCGUAUGAAAAUCGCACUAUCAAGAGGGGUCAUCAUGGAUGUGUCAUGUGUGAAUGCCUCCAAACUUAUACACCAGCCAUCCUACACCUACGACCAAGAAUCCACUUAUAAUGUGCUUUUUGAGGUGUCUUGUGAGCUUCAACAAAAACUCUCUCGACACCCGAGGUUCCACGAAACUCUCUUGACAUCCCAUGAUCACGGGGUCCUAGACCCUCGUGUGCACNNNNNNNNNNNNNNNNNNNNNNNNNNNNNNNNNNNNNNNNNNNNNNNNNNNNNNNNNNNNNNNNNNNNNNNNNNNNNNNNNNNNNNNNNNNNNNNNNNNNCCAAACAUUUUGAGUAUGUGCUCACUGACAGAACUGUUCUCCUCCAUCUUACAGCUAAAGAACUUGUCGGAGACUUCAUAUCUCUCGACACGAGCAUGAGCUUGAAAAACUAGCUUCAGCUCCUGGAACAUCUCAUGUGCUCCGUGUUGCUCAAAACGCCUUUGGAGCCCCGUUUCUAAACUGUAUAACAUGCCACACCUAACCAGAGAGUAGUCAUCACUCCGCGUUUGCCAGACGUUCAGAAUGCCCUGGGCUGCCGCGGGAGCGGGAGGGUCACCUAGCGGCGCAUCAAGGGCAUAAGCCUUUUUAUCUGCCUCAAGGAUGAGCUNNUAGCGGCGCAUCAAGGGCAUAAGCCUUUUUAUCUGCUUCAAGGAUGAGCUUCAAGUUGCGAACCCAGUCCGCAUAGUUGCUACCAUCAUCUUUCAGCUUGUUUUUCUCUAGGAAUGUGUUGAAAUUGAGGUUGACGUUGGCCAUCUACAAUAUUUAUAAAGACAAACCUUUUAGACUAAGUUCAUGACAAUUAAGUUCAUUUAAUCAAAUUAAGUAUGAACUCCCACUUAAAUCGACAUCCCUCUAGUCAUCUAAGUGAUACAUGAUCCAUGUUGACUAACCCGUGUCCGAUCAUCACGUGAGACGGACUAGUCACCAUGGUGAGCAACUUCAUGCUGAUCGUAUUCAACCAUACGACUCAUGUUCCACCUUUCGUGCUGAUCGUAUUCAACCAUACGACUCAUGUUCGACCUUUCGGUCUCUUGUAUUUGAGGUCAUGUCUGUACAUGCUAAGCUCGUCGAGUCAACCUAGGUGUUUCGCGUGUGUAAAUCUGGCUUACACCCGUUGUAUGCGAACGUUAGAAUCUAUCACACCCGAUCAUCACGUGGUGCUUCGAGACAACGAACCUUCGCAACGGUGCACACUUAGGGGAAUACGUUCUCGAAAUUUUAAGAGGGAUCAUCUUAUUAUGCUACCGUCGUUCUAAGCAAUAAGAUGAAAAACAUGAUAAACAUCACAAUACAAUCAUAUAGUGUCAUGAUAUGGCCAUUAUCAUCUUUGCUCUUUCGAUCUCCAUCUUCAGGCAUCGCAUGAUCAUCACCAUCACCGGCAUGACACCAUGAUCUCCAUCAUCAUGAUCUCCAUCAUCGUGUCUCCGUGAAGUCGUCACGCCAAUUACUUCUAUCACUACCACUAUGGCUAACCGUUAGCAAUGAAGUAAAAGUAGUAAGCACAUGGCGUUGCAUCUCAUACAAUAAAUUAAGACAACUCCUAUGGCUCCUGCCGGUUGUCAUACUCAUCGACAUGGAAGUCGUGAAACCUAUUACAAUAACAUGAUCAUCUCAUACAUCAUACAUGCAACAUCACAACUUUGGCCAUAUCACAUCACAUGUCAAACCGUGCAAAAACAAGUUAGACGUCCUCUAAUUGUUGUUGCAAGUUUUACGUGGCUGAUUUGUGUUUCUAGCAAGAACGCCUUCUUACCUAUGUGAAAGCCACAACGAUGAUAUGCCAAAGCUAUUUACCCUUCAUAAGGACCCUUUUCAUCAAAUCAAUCCGACUAGAGUAGGAGAGACAGACACCCGCUAGCCACCUUUAUGCACGGUGUGCAUGUCUGUCGGUGGAACCAGUCUCACGUAAGCGUACGUGUAAAGUCGGUCCGGGCCUCUNNNNNNNNNNNNNNNNNNNNNNNNNNNNNNNNNNNNNGGGCCUCUUCAUCCCACAAUACCACCGGUAAAGAAUAAGACUAGUAGCGGCAAGCAAAUUGACAAAUCAUCGCCCACAACUUUUGUGUUCUACUCGUGCAUAGAAUCUACGCAUAGAAAACCUGGCUCGGAUGCCACUGUUGGGUAACGUAGCAUAAAUUGAAAAUUUUCCUACGCAUAUUCAGAUCUUCCUAUGGAGAGACCAGCAACGAGAGAGGGGUAAGAGCAUCUUCAUACCUUUGAAGAUCGCUAAGCGGAAGCGUUGCUAGAACACGGUUGAUGGAGUCGUACUCGCAGCGAUUCCGAUCUAGUGCCGAACUACGGCACCUCCGCGUUCAACACACGUGCAGCCCGGUGACGUCUCCUGCACCUCGAUCCAGCAAGGAGGAGGGAGAGGUUGGGGAAGAACUCCAGCAGCAUGACGGCGUGGUGUCGAUGGAGAGACGAGGUCUCCCGGCAGGGCUUCGCCAAGCACGGGCAGAGAGGAGGAGGAAGAAGGGCAGGGUUGCGCCGAGAGAGAGGCAAAAGUCUAUCUCUCAAUGGCCAAAAGUGCCCGAUAUAUAUAGGGAGAUGGGAGAGGGGGUGCCACCCCUAGGGUUCCCACCCUAGGUGGUGCGGCAGCCCCCCCAGAUGGGAGGUGCGGCGGCCAGAGGGGGGAGGAGGGGGUGGCGCACCACCUGGUGGGCCUUAGGCCCACCUGGCUUAGGGUUUGCCCCUCUUUUCUCUCCCCUGCGCAUUGGGCUGAGUGGGGAGGCGCACCAGCCCACCUAGGUGCUGGUUCCCACCCCCACUUGGCCCAUCUUACCUCCCGGGGUCGUUGCCCCCCUUCGGUGGUCCCCCGGGGCCACCUCCGAUGGUCCGGGUGGUCCCGGUACGUUACCCGUUAUGCCCGAAACACUUCCGGUAUCCGAAACCAUCCGUCCUAUAUAUCAAUCUUUACCUCCGGACCAUUCCGGAGCUCCUCGUGAUGUCCGGAAUCUCAUCCAGGACUCCGAACAACUCUCGGUAACCUCGUAUAACAAUUCCCUAUAACCCUAGCGUCACCGAACCUUAAGUGUGUAGACCCUACGGGUUCGGGAGACAGGCAGACAUGACCGAGACACCUCUCUGGCCAAUAACCAUCAGCGGGGUCUGGAUACCCAUGGUGGCUCCCACUUUCUCCACGAUGAUCUCAUCGAAUGAACCACGAUGUCAAGGAUUCAAUCAAUCCCGUAUACGAUUCCCUCUGUCUGUCGGUAUAGAACUUGCCCGAGAUUCGAUCGUCGGUAUGCCUAUACCUUGUUCAAUCUCGUUACCGGUAAGUCUCUUUACUCGAUGCCCAUACGUUGUUCAAUCUCGUUACCGGUAAGUCUCUUUACUCGUUCCGUAGCACGUCAUCGUGUGACUAACUCCUUAGUCACAUUGAGCUCAUGAUGAUGUUCUACCGAGUGGGCCCAGAGAUACCUCUCCGUCACACGGAGUGACAAAUCCCGAUCUUGAUUCGUACCAACCCAACAGACACUUUCAGAGAUACCCGUAAUGCACCUUUAUAGUCACCCAGUUACGUUGUGACGUUUGAUACACCCAAAGCACUCCUACGGUAUCCGGGAGUUGCACAAUCUCACGGUCGAAGGAAAAGACACUUGACAUUAGAAAAGCUUUAGUAUGCGAACAAUACGAUCUAGUGCUAUGCUUAGGAUUGGGUCUUGUCCAUCACAUCAUUCUCCCAAUGAUGUGAUCCCGUUAUCAAUGACAUNNNNNNNNNNNNNNNNNNNNNNNNNNNNNNNNNNNNNNNNNNNNNNNNNNNNNNNNNNNNNNNNNNNNNNNNNNNNNNNNNNNNNNNNNNNNNNNNNNNNAGUCUACCUCGGUGUACUAAUUUUCAUAGUAGUAAGGAUGAAAUUAGCUGGAAGACAAAUGGUGUGUCACACAAAUCGUAUAUUUCAAGUCAAAGGUAUGAUUCAUAUACAAGGUGUGAUUCUACUGUGAGUACGAUUUGAAACAUGCUAUACCCCGAAGAAAGCUAGAAUGUGAUAUGAAUUCACUACUCAACAAGAAGGAUACCCGCACAAACUUUUUCAUACAAGUAUCCAGCAGUCGGAAUAUUAANNNNNNNNNNNNNNNNNNNNNNNNNNNNNNNNNNNAGCAGUCGGAAUAUUAAAGGGUAUAUAUAUGGUAGUAAGUCAACAUAUCCCAGAUAGAAGCUUCUACUGUAAGCAACCUAGUCUGCCCUCACAAGCUACCGAAGAAGCUUACAAUGCAUGAUUCCUCUACCUUCCUCAGUAUGAUACGUGGAUGAAUUCUCGUGCAAGAUACUCAUGCUUCUUCCGUAAGCUACUGCAAAAGCUUCUGGCAUAAGGUAUUGAGUCUUCCCUAGCAAGACUUUAAGGGGGGAAGCUUCUAAAGUACGGUACUCAAUCUUCUUCAACAAGCUGUCUGACAAAAGCUUUGAGCACAAGCUAUUCAACUCGAUACUCUCGAUGUCUUCCAAUGGAAGCCGUCCAACUUUCCUCAAUACGACACCGCUCCAAGAUAUUACACACUAAUAUGGUAAUAUAUGGCAGUACAUCCCAAGAAUCAAAUCCACAAUAGUUUGGUCAGAAGCUAGAAUCAAUCAGAACACAAGUCUACCUCAGGAAUCAAAUACUUCCAUAAACACUAUGAGCAUGCUACCAAAUUCAUGCAAGUCACUCGCACGAUGAUGAAAUAACGGUAAGAAUCCAACAACCUCACGAGUUACGCAAGAGUAAAAAGUGAGUUAUACACUUCAGGGAGUGAUGCAGGGACCGACCAACUUUGUUGAAAGAUAGCGUGAGAAAAUUAUUUUUGGCAGUGCAUAUCCAGGCCAAACAUGGUGAUAUCGUUAACCCUUAUCACGAGCUUGUAUGAUGGACGACAACAAUGAGCUCUCUACAAGCACAUGUGAAUCUAGCAUAUAUCCUAUGGCCCGAGUCGUGAACAAGGCCAAUGUAUGAUGGCCAAAAUAUUGCAUAUGACAGCACCUCUGGUCACAAGAAUUGAAGAUAUAUAUGUGGACAAGAUCCUUCGGCAAAAGGAUCCACACAAAGAAACCAAUAAUGAAGGAGCGAGACCGUCAAUACAAAUAUGCCACUUGUUGCUUGACCAACAAGGUAGAGAUACCAGGACGGUCAGGUUUAGUAUUGUUUACCAUUGACUAUCCACCUAAGGGGUCUACUCCAUCUGUAAGGACCUCAUAUCAAGAUAACCCGCUCAACCAACAUUAUCUGCUCAAAACUGCUAGUAUCGACUAUCCAAGUCUAUCACGUAAAACAAAAGGCCAGCUCAACAGAUUAAAUUCAAUAACCGUGUUAAAGCAUGACAAAUCCUACUAUCCACAAGAAUAUAGCAACCGAAUAAGAAUGUAGUAUGCUAAACAACAGUCUCGAAGCAUGUGCCCUCGCAUAGGGGAAUCAGUUAAAGGAUAGCCUGCCAAGAACAAGAUGCUUCUGUCAGAACCAACGUCUGUUAAGUCUCGAGAUGCUACUAUUAUAAGGCUAUACUCCUUUCUACUGGUCACAACAAACGACAGUCAGACCUUUGGUAUGAAUCUGGUACUCAAGACAGUGGAAAUAUCCAAGAUGAUGAAGGAAUACGAGUGAGAAGUCACACNNNNNNNNNNNNNNNNNNNNNNNNNNNNNNNNNNNNNNNNNNNNNNNNNNNNNNNNNNNNNNNNNNNNNNNNNNNNNNNNNNNNNNNNNNNNNNNNNNNNCUUGGAUAAAAUAGGUCAUUCCGGAGCAAACUAUGCUUAUUAAGCCAGUUUGGAUCUAGCUAGGCUAAUUAUAGGCCAUUUAAUACCUAAAUUAGAGGGAAUUGGUCAUCUUACAACUACGUAAGCCUUAUUAUGUUAUUUAGGAGAGAACUUAGCUAACUGUAGGUCAUUUUUUAUUAAAUAGGUCAUUUUGGAGCUAACUAAGCUAAUUAUGUCAUUUCGUAGGAUAAUUAGCCAAUUUAGCCUUUCUUAGAUGAGUCUAAGCUACGUAGAAGAAGAGAAAGAGAAGAAGAAGUAAAAGAAGGAGGAGGAGGAGGAGGAGGAGAAGGAGAAGGAAGAGGAGAAGAAGAAGAAAAGAAGAAGGAGAAGGAGAAGGAGGAAGAAGAAGGAGAAGGAGGAGCUCCUUCUCCUUCUUCUUAUCCUCCUCCUUCUCCUUCUUCGUAGGAUAAUUAGCCAAUAUAGCCAUUUUGGAGCUAACUAAGUUAAUUAUGUCAUUUAGAUGGAAGUCUAGUUAUUUUUUAUUAAAACACNNNNNNNNNNNNNNNNNNNNNNNNNNNNNNNNNNNNNNNNNNNNNNNNNNNNNCUAGAAAUAACAUAACAUUAUCGUCAUCACAGCGGUGAAGCACGGUGGCUCUGGCUUGUUUCACCUGGAGAAGGCUGCCAUGGAGAAGGCUCGACUGUAGAAGGGUCGUGCGAUGCUUUUUGGGAGAUAUUCUGCACCAAACAUCAUUUGCAAUGUGUAGUUAGCAUGAGGACACUCUUAAGAUCACUGCACUGAAAUGAAACUCACCAUCCCCGCCACGUUAAUGACUGGCAUCGGCGGAGGGACUUGGUCGCUCUUCUCGCACAUAGACUGUACAUUUGGUUUCGACAAGUCAAACUUUUUAUUUAUUAAUGAAACGGACAUUCAAAUGCAAGAUUUGAAAUAACAUGAAGAAGAAACUUACCACGAAGAGCUCGUAUAUGGCCCUGUUAGACGCAUCAUUCCGUGCCCUCUCCGCCUCCACCAAUGCAGUCGUCCUCUCCUCCAGCUCCCUAAUUUCCUUAUCCUUCUCCGCCAUAGCCGCCUGCAUUGCCUCUCUCUCUUUCUGAAUAGCAGCCUGCAACACAACUCGUUGUUAGCAAUGUAAUCAUAUUGGUUCCAACGCACAACAUAAUGCGGAAAGAUAGUUGAGUCCAUUAAACUAACCUCGAUGGUGAGCUCGAGGUCGUGGAUGACGUGUUAUCUCCGUACAAGAGCUCGUUUGGCAUGCCUUUAUCUACCGGAGAGUGCUAGGACAACGUAUAAGGUCGUCUCCAAUGGAGAUCGAGCCAUGGGGCCUCCCGUUGCCAGCUAUCAUCACCAGCUCUGGAUCAAUAGGCCCCCCGCUCGGGUUAAAGUCCUCCCCUUUCCUCGCCUUCCCGUGAUCUCUGUACUUCACGAGCUUGUGGUGGGAGGCGAUGUUGGUGAAGUUUUCUGGAUGCUUGUGGUGGGAGGAGAUGUUGGUGAAGUUUUCUGGAUGCUCGAGGUCAGACUCAGAGAAUGCCUUGACCUUCUUUUACGAGGCAGUAUGGGCCAUCGCAUACAGGUCGUACAUCUGUGGCACCUCCGUCUUAUUGUGAUGCGACUAAAAGAGAGAGAGAGGAAAUUGUAUUCGUAGAGGGCUCAAGAUAGCAUUAAGAAUGAACUGCAUGAGGCAUGAAGCAAACCACAUACCGAGUUCUCGCCAAAUUGGAUUAAGUUGAUGCUCCCUUGAUGGUGUGGNNNNNNNNNNNNNNNNNNNNNNNNNNNNNNNNNNNNNNNNNNNNNNNNGGCACGCCAACCAUUUUGCCACGCCUCUCCUUGGCGUUGUUGUGGCUGGCCUCCCAUGUUUCGGAGCACCACUGGUCCACCAAUGCCUCCCAACAAUCCAUCUUAUCCACACACCAUCUCGGGGGCACCUAAGUUAAUAAAGAGAAAUUUGAGCGCGUAAGAACCAAAUCAAGGAAACUAACUACAAAGCCUUAAUAAUAUGUAAUUACCUUCAUGUAAUUCUCCUUCUCCAUCUUAGCGUCACGGCACUUCGCCUUGUCAAUCCUAAUACGCCACGUGGCAUAGUAGUCUCGAACACCCUGCACCCGAGCCUCGUGCCGAAAGUUUUGAAGUAGGCGGCGACAUUCGGUUUCGAUAACCUUUGUUGCGUCCUCCUCGUAUCCCUCGUCACACCUGUAGUAGGUCUGCAAACGAGGCAACACCGAUUAGUACAAUAAAUAGCUAUGGUUGAUUUAUAAUUGUGUGAAGGAGAAAUUACCCAGAACUUUCGGAUCACCAUGUCCGCCCUCGUGUCGCACAAAACACCGUCGAUCUCCACCUCCGGCGGGGCCGGGGCACCCAAGUAGUGCUCCCAGGUCAUUCCUACCUCUCGCUCCCGACCGGGAAACGUAACAAACCCUGGGAAGUUUUUACGGCAAAGCGCACCAAGGACGCUGUUGGGUUUGCGGACCCCCUUGGCAACAAUCCAACCCCUACAGUAUGACAAAUUAAAGACAAAACAUUAGAUAUUUGGGAAAACGCGAAGGCAAAAGGUUAAAUAAGAGUAAAUUAACUUACUUGUCCCCAUUUGGCCUAAUCGACCACCUGUGCUCGGGGUUCGCUGGCACGAGCGGGAGCCCCGAACUACCACACUGGUAGACAAUAGCCCCCUCACCUAUCUCCUCGUCGCUACCAGCAUCCGACUAGGUCUCUUANNNNNNNNNNNNNNNNNNNNNNNCAUCCGACUAGGUCUCUUAGGACGUACCCUCAUCCCUUCUUUGCUCCGGAGUCGCCUGGAAUGAAGCCUCUGGGACACGAGUCUCAUGGGUCGAAGGCUCGUCGACCUAAGGCUCGUCGACCCGAGGCUCGUGCACUGGAUAUAGUGUAGCCUCCACCUCAGACGAAUCCACCCUAGAAGUCCUGUGCUUAGGUGAAUCAGCGUGGGGUGGUGGCGAAGACCGUGUAGCCGCCACCUCAGAAGGCGUGGCAGCCACCGCCCUACCUCUCCUGCGGCCACGUGUACCUUUAGUACUACAUAAAUACCAACAUGAGUAAUAAAAUGUAUAUAAAUACCAUUAUGCAUACAACAUGAGUACAACAUAAAUACCAACAUGAAUACAACGUGUACCUUUAGUACCUCUCGGCUUCGCGGGGGGUCGACCUCCUCUCACGGGGGGUGCUCCUUGCAUAGUAGAGAGCAACACUCUCCGAAGAGGCGAGGCAGGAAUGGAAGUACCCAUCCCAUCACCCACCGACGAAGAAGGAGCCGCGGAGUGCUUUCGACCCUUUCCCACCAUCUUUCAACACCUGUCAUGACAAAGGGUAAAUGAAAUUAGUACAAAAUAAAUACCAACAUGAGUAAUAAAAUGUAUAUAAUUUAAGUGUAUCAUCAUCAUAAAUACCAACANNNNNNNNNNNNNNNNNNNNNNNNNNNNNNNNNNNNNNNNNNNNNNNNNNNNNNNNNNNNNNNNNNNNNNNNNNNNNNNNNNNNNNNNNNNNNNNNNNNNACCAAAUUAGGUCUUACUUUUAUGUAGUUUCCUUGGUGAUAUUCAUAUGCCUCUGUUAUACUUUACUUGAUGUUAAGUUAUAUGCUAUGUGACAUGAUAGCAAGUCAGGAAGGCUGAAAGUGGGAGGCCAUGUUGAACGCAACGAUUAUUGAUACACUUAGGCUAUUAGGAAACCAAGAUCUUGAAAUAUAUUUUUCUAAGAAUGAGCACACUAUCCAUACGCAGGACAUUAUGGGAGCCCAUGGACACUUUCUACAGUUGUAAAUUGUCCACGGGUCAUAAUGGUGUUGUACUAUUUGUAUGUAUUGUUUUGCAGGUAUGAGGAGACGUUCCAUGGUAAUGGUAUGAUUUUACCAUUAGGGUGUUUUUUCCCAUGAUGUUCCUUUGGGCCCGCAUGUGUAGGACUUCCCCACUAGUCCUAAAAUUGUGUGGUUGCGAAUGGCUAUGCUCGGACUCGACACUAGCCACGUGUCACUGGUGUGACACAAUUGGAUCCGAUUCAGAGAUAUAUCUCCCCGACUAGGAUGUAGUAACGAAGUACGUAUCAUUUGUUUGAAACUACGUAGCUUAGCCCGUCGUGGGUCACAACAUAAGGUCGGCGAGCAUGUGUUGUCAUGCCAUUCAGAACUUUAGCUGCUAUCACAAGAAAUGGGCGCCCCCCGUGGGUCAGUUCUUGUUGUGAACAACGUGUGUAUGGAGCUUAUAGUGGGUAUGCAUGGUUAAGGAUGACUUGAGCUUUAUGACAGUUCAUAAGAUAACUUCAAUCAUACUCGCCAAAACUUGUCCGCCCUUAAACUUCAUGUUAAUUGCAUGUUCUACUUCAACCAUAAUUAAUGGAAACCCGUGCACCACAUGAGUGACAUGGGGUAAUUCCUUGGGGAGGGUGUCAGGGAGGAUUCGUGGUGGUGGUAUGCUUGACAGUUGGAUAGAAUGCUCAUGUGCACACAACACUUGUGUUGUGAUGCAUGAAAUUUGGGACAUGUGGUCCUUUGGUUCUCAUGUUGUUCCACUAGACAUAAGUUGUAGCAUUGCCUAGUGCUUGCAACUUCACCACUCAUCCUUUCCAUACCUAUCGGUAUUGUUAUUUGUAGUACCCUUGGUAAUGAUACUUUUCAAGUACCCUGGUACUCACCCUUACCAUAAUAACAGGUUGCAUAUAUUGUGAUGGAUAAUGUUAGCUUGGUUGUCCUUCGGACAAUGGUCUUGGCAAGGUAAUGGACGCAUUUGCUUUUAUUUGAGCCUUCUUGACGCAAUUUGUAUUCUUGCUUCUCCGCCUCCCCCAUAUGAAUUGGACUUUGGUCAUAAGACCCUGAAUGUAUCAAAUAUUGCAUAUGUAUGUAUCUUGUUGUAUGCGGAACUUAUAAUNNNNNNNNNNNNNNNNNNNNNNNNNNNNNNNNNNNNNNNNNNNNNNNNNNNNNNNNNNNNNNNNNNNNNNNNNNNNNNNNNNNNNNNNNNNNNNNNNNNNUCACCUACAUGCUACGUCAACAACAUCAUUCGAAGGUAUGUACUCAUUCGAAGUGAUAUGAGGAGAUCGAAAUUCUUAAUCGAAAAAAUGGUAAACCAAUUUCGCGCUUAACGAUGAGUAUGACCUAUGAUCAAGCAUCCUUGCUUGACUCCUCAAGUCAAAUACUCUAAUAUACACUACAGGAAUUAGCUUCUUUGCCAUCUUCCAUCACAGACGGCAAAGAGUAUAUCACAGACUGCAAAGAGUAUAUCACAAACGGCAAAGAAUCUCACUGUCGACAAAAUUUCCGCGUUAGCCUACGACAACAUUGUAGCUUCUUUGUCGUCUGCUUCACCGAAACGGACGGCAAAGCUCUUUGCCGUGAGCUUUCCAUGAGAGCAGUCGGCAAAUAUGUCGAGACGGUAGCCGGCAGGCGUUGCCUCCGUUAGGGACUAACGGAGGCUUUGCCGUCUGCCUCCCCUCUUCUGUGCCGUCUGCCCCCCCCCCUCUUCUUUGCCAUAUGCCUCCCCCUCCUCUGUGCCAUCUGCCUCCCCCCUCUUCUUUGUCGUCUGCAUCCCCCCUCUUCUGUGCGGUCUACCUCCCCCUCUUCUUUGCCGUCAGCCUCCACCUCCUCCCCCCCUCCUCUCUGCCCUCUUCUUUGCCGUCUACCCCCUCCCUUGAAGCAGACGGCAAAGAUACUAUAUGUCCAGCUGCUGCUGCCCAGGUUGCACAGCUGGGUGCCACGUGGCACCUUUGCCGUCGGUCAGCUGAUGGCAAAGGCCUUUGCCAUCAGCUGGCAGACGGCAAAGAGCCUAUAUUGUCACAUUUUUGUUUAUUUUUUCUAUUUCAUAGCACAUAUAUAUAUAAUUCAUAGCACAUCUAUGAUAAAUAGGUCACAACACAUAUAUGAUAUACAUAUAAAGCUCAUCAAUGCCAUUUGUUCAUCAAAGUACAUCACAUAUAUUAAAAGAACCAACACAUACAAAGUUUCGUCCAUAUAUACAUACAUAUAGUUGCACAUAUAUUGUUCAUCCAUAUAUACAUAUACAUAUAGUUCCACAUUGUUCAUCAACUCAAAUAAAAACGGGAACUAAAGCACUCCAAUGCCAGCUUCCAUGCAUGUAGUACAUCCAAUCUGCAAAAUGGGAAUAAGAAACACAGAAGAAGAAGAAGAAGAAGAACAUAUAUAUGACAAAUAAGCUAAAUUGAAGAAGAAAGAGAAGAAGCAAGAAGAGAACAAGGAGAAGAAAAACAAGGAGGAGGAGGAGGAGGAGGAGGGGAAGGAGAAGGACAAGGAGGAGGAGAAGAAGAAAAAAGAAGAAGAGAAGAAGAAGGAGAAGAAGGAGGAGAAGGAGGAGAGAAGAAGAAGGAGAAGAAGGAUGGCUCCUUCUCCUUCUUCUCCUCCUUCUCCUCCUCCUCCUUCUUCUUCUCCUUCUCCUUCUCCUUCUCUUCUUCUUCUCUUCUUUUUCUUCUUCUUCCUUCUUUUCAUUUCUCCUCUUCUUGGAGCUAAAUUAGCUAACUAUGUCUUUUCGCAGCUAAAUGGGCUAAUUAUGUCAUUCUAGCGGAAAACAAGCUAAGUAUAUAAUAUUAAUGAGCUAAUCAAGGUUCUUAUGCCAUUUUGAGCUUAUUAUGUCUUUUAGGAGCUUAAUUAGUCAUUUUAUUGAGCUAACCAAGGUUCUUAUGAUGUUUUUACCUAACUAAGCUAAUUAUGUCAUUUUGGAUGAUAAUUGGCUAAGUAUGUCUUUGUUGGGGAAAAUAAGCUAAAUUGAAGAAGAAGAGGAGAAGAAGGAGGGAAGAAGAAGGAGAAUAAGGAGGGCUCCUUCUCCUCCUUCUCCUUCUUCUCUUCUUCUUCUCCUCCUCCUUCUUCUCCUUCUCCUUCUCUUCUCUUUCUCUUCUUCUUUUUGUUCUUCCUUUUUAUUUCUCCUCUUCUCCUCUUCUUGGAGCUAAAUUAGCUAACUAUGUCAUUAUAGAGGAAAACAAGCUAAGUAUAUAAUAUUAAUGAGCUAACCAAGGUUCUUAUGCCAUUUUGAGCUUAUAAUGUCUUUUUGGAGCUAAAUUGUCUAAUUAUGUCAUUGUUGGGGAAAUUAAGGCAAGGAGAAUAUGAAAGAAGAAAAGAAAGAGGAGGAGGAGAAGAAGAAGAAGAAAUAAAGAAGGAGGAGGAGAAGGACUAGAAGGUCCUUGGCCUUCUCCUCCUUCUCCUCCUCCUCCUCCUCCUCCUUCUCCUUCUUCUNNNNNNNNNNNNNNNNNNNNNNNNNNNNNNNNNNNNNNNNNNNNNNNNNNNNNNNNNNNNNNNNNNNNNNNNNNNNNNNNNNNNNNNNNNNNNNNNNNNNGGAGGAGGAGAAGGACUAGAAGGUCCUUGGCCUUCUCCUCCUUCUUCUCCUCCUCCUCCUCCACCUCCUCCUUCUUCUCCUCCUCCUUCUUCUCCUUCUCCUUCUCUUCUCUUUUUCUUCUUUUUUGUUCUUCCUUUUCAUUUCUCCUCUUCUUGGAGCUAAAUUAGCUAACUAUGUCAUUAUAGAGGAAAACAAGCUAAGUAUAUAAUAUUAAUGAGCUAACCAAGGUUCUUAUGCCAUUUUGAGCUUAUAAUGUCUUUUUGGAGCUAACCAAGGUUUUUAUGCCAUUAAGGAGAAUAAGGAGGAGGAGGAGGAGGAGAAGGACUAGAAGGUCCUUGGCCUUCUCCUCCUUCUCCUCCUCCUCCUCCUCCUUCUCCUUCUUCUCUUCUUCUUCUUUCUUUUCAUUUUUCCUAUUUAUUCUCCUCUUCACCUCUUCUUGGAGCUAAAUUAGCUAAAUAUGUCUUUUUGGAGCUAAAUGGUAUAAUUAUCCCAUUUUAGAGGAAAACAAGCUAAGUAUAUAAUAUUAAUAAGCUAACCAAGCUUCUUAUGCCAUUUUGAGGUUAUUAUGGCAUUUUGGAGCUAAAUGGUCUAAUUAUGUCAUUGUUGGGGAAAUUAAGGAAAGGAUAAUAUGAAAGAGGAGAAGAAAGAGGAGGAGGAGAAGAAGAAGAAGAAAUAAAGAAGAAGGAGGAGAAGGAGGAGGAGGAGGAGAAGGACUAGAAGGUCCUUGGCCUUCUCCUCCUGCUCCUCUUCCUCCUCCUCCUCCUUCUCCUUCUUCUCUUCUUCUUCUUUCUUUUCGANNNNNNNNNNNNNNNNNNNNNNNNNNNNNNNNNNNNNNNNNNNNNNNNNNNNNNNNNNNNNNNNNNNNNNNNNNNNNNNNNNNNNNNNNNNNNNNNNNNNCCGCGUAAUGCCCCGGGGUAACCCUGAGGCCUUCUGGACCCCCUCCCGAGGAGCCUCCAACACUGGCACAGGCGGCGCUACUAAAGGAGAGGCGCCACAAAGAACAAGAGGCCCCGAAGGCUGCUGCACAGCUGCGAGCGUCAGCACCUUCAGAGGCCGGGGAUCCUUGGAGGCCAGUUCUCCAUGCAACGGCGUCCCCACGCUCACCAGAGGAUGCUUCGGGGGCUCGGGGGGCUUGACGACCAAGGCCAGGGAGGCCGCCCAAAGAUCCCCUCCUCCUCCUCCUUACCCGUAGACGGUGAUGUGUCGACAAGGGCAGGCGGGGCAUCGAGAGACGCCUUCGGCCUAGCAACCGUCUUCUUCUUCUUCGGCGUGAGACCAAAUCAGCGUUCGCCCAUGCUCACUGGACUCACCCACGGUCCAUGGAAGCACCGAGACGAGAUCCGCCUCCUUGGAGAGGGCGCAGUCCAGGAGCGGAGAAGUUGGGGCCAGGCCAUGCCCCUCUGGCUUAUACUUGCCGGUGGUGCCAUCGCUGGAUUGUCGAGUAACUAUGCGACACUGGAUCUGGGAGGCAUCGGCCGGAGUCAAAGGCUUAAGAAGAAAGACGAGUGCGGUAAAAGGAAGGCAAUAAGGCACCGAAGCUACAAGCAGGGCACCUAAUAAAGGGGGCAGAGAUAGAGGACAAGGAGGCAUGGACGCCAUCCGCGUGUCGUGCGCCGGCCUGGACCAUAGGUGUUUGAGGGCCCACGACGUCUCAUGCUACCCCUCAAGGCUCCUCCCUGAAGCCAACCCGAGCACACCGCAUGUCCGGCGGCUACUGUCGGCCUUCUGGGACUCGGGGUACCCAGACCUGCCUGCCUGUGGCCCAGGACGGGCCCGCUUCACUAGAGUGACGCAACAAGCCCAGUGAUAACCCACAAGUAUAAGGGAUCACAACAGUUUUCGAGGGUAGAGUAUUCAACCCAAACAUAUUGAUUCGACACAAGGGGAAGCCAAAGAAUAUUCUCAAGUAUUAGCAGUUGAGUUGUCAAUUCAACCACACCUAAAAGACUUAGUAUCUGCCGCAAAUCUAUCAGUAGCAAGGUAGUGUGAUAGCAACAGUAACCAGUAGCAACAAAGUGACAGCAGUGGUGACAGAGUAACAGUAGCAGCAGUAACAACAGUAGCGGCAAAGUAACGUAGCAAGGACCAGUAGGAAAAACUCGUAGGCAUUGGAUCAGUGAUGGAUGAUUAUGCCAGAAGGUAUUCAUCAUGCAACAGUUAUAACACGGNNNNNNNNNNNNNNNNNNNNNNNNNNNNNNNNNNNNNNNNNNNNNNNNNNNNNNNNNNNNNNNNNNNNNNNNNNNNNNNNNNNNNNNNNNNNNNNNNNNNCUUAAUGCUUAAUAUGUAAGCAGCCUCUCCUAGGUAAUUCGUUGAAAAACAUUAGUUCAAGUAAUCCUUUACACUCUCUAAAAACUCCACAUUGUUUUCAAUCAGCAAUAUGUCAUCCACAUAUAACAUUAGAAACGCUACAGAGCUCCCACUCACUUUCUUGUAUAUAGAAGAUUCUCCAACAACUUGUAUAAUCCCAAAUGUCUUGAUCACCUCAUCAAAGCGUUUAUUCCAACUCCGAAAUGCUUGCACCAGUCCAUAAAUAGAUCGCUAGAGCUUGCAUACUUUGCUAGCAUUCUUUGGAUCGACAAAACCUUCGGAUUGCAUCAUAUACAAGUCUUCCUUAAGAAACCAUUAAGGAACCCCAUUUUGACAUCCAUCAUCAUAUACAAGUCUUCCUUAAGAAACCAUUAAGGAACACCAUUUUGACAUCCAUCUGCCAAAUUUCAUAAUCGAAAUAUGCAGCAAUUGCUAACAUGAUUCGGACGGACUUAAGCAUCGCUACCAGUGAUAAUGUAUCAUCGUAGUCAACAACUUGAACUUGUGAAAAUACUUUUUCCACAAGUCGAGCUUUAUAAAAGGUCACAUUACCAACCGCGUCCGUCUUCUUGAAGAUCCAUUUGUUCUGAAUAGCCUUGCAACCUUCAGGUAAUACUUCCAAAGUCCACACUUUGUUUUCAUACAUAGACCCUAUCUCGGAUUUCAUGGCCUCUAGCCAUUUAUUGGAAUCAGGGCCCACCAUUGCUUCUUCAUAAUUCGCAGGCUCGUUGUUGUCUAACAACAUGAUAGAUAAGACAGGAUUUCCGUACCACUCAGGAGCAGUACGUGAUCUGGUCGACCUGCGAGGUCCGAUAGUAACUUGAUCCGAAACUUCAUGAUCACCAUCAUUAGCUUCCUCCUCAACCGGUGUUUCCUCGACACAGAUUUCCCUCUGCCCCGCGCCACCAUCUUGAGCGAGCAGAGGUUCCAAAACCUCAUCAAUUCUUUCGAGAGAAACUAUUUCUCAAGAAAAGCUUCGUUCUUAGAAACAAACACUUUGCCCUCGGAUCUGAGAUAGAAGGUGUACCCAACUGUCUCUUUUGGACAACUAUGAAGACGCACUUUUCCGCUUUGGGUUCCAGCUUUUCAGGCUGAAGCUUUUUGACAUAAGCAUCGCAUCCACAAACUUUAAGAAACGACAACUUUGGCAUCUUGCCACACCAUAGUUCAUAUGGUGUCGUCUCAACGGAUUUUGAUGGUGCCCUAUUUAAAGUGUAUGCAGAUGUCUCUAAUGCAUAACCCCAAAACGAUAAUGGCAAACCGGUAAGAUACAUCAUAGAUCGCACCAUAUCUAACGAAGUAGGAUUACGACGUUUGGACACACCAUUACGAUGUGGUGUUCCAGGCGGUGUCAACUGUGAAACAAUUCCAAAUUGUCUUAAGUGAGCACCAAACUCAAAACUCAGAUAUUCGCCCCCUCGAUCAGAUCAUAGGAACUUAAUCUUCUUGCUACGAUGAUUUUCAACUUCACUUUGAAAUUGCUUGAAGUUUUGAAAUGUUUCAGACUUGUACUUCAUCAAGUAGAUAUAUCCAUAGCUACUCAAAUCAUCAGUGAAGGUGAGAAAAUAACGAUAUCCGUAGCGCGCCUCCACACUCAUUGGCCCGCACACAUCAGUAUGUAUGAUCUCCAACAAGUCACUUGCACGCUCCAUUGUUCCGGAGAAUGGAGUCUUAGUCAUCUUGCCCAUGAGGCAUGGUUCGCACUUGUCAAGUGAUUCGAAAUCAAGUGACUCCAAAAUUCCAUCAGCAUGGAUUUUCUUCAUGCGCUUUACACCAAAAUGACCUAAGCAGCAGUGCCACAAAAAGGUUGCGCUAUCAUUGUUAACUCUACAUCUUUUGGUCUCAAUGUUAUGGAUAUGUGUGUCAUCAUAAUCAAGAUUCAAUAUGAACAAACCCCUCACAUUUGGUGCAUGACCAUAAAAGAUAUUACUCAUAAAAAUAGAACAACCAUUNNNNNNNNNNNNNNNNNNNNNNNNNNNNNNNNNNNNNNNNNNNNNNNNNNNNNNNNNNNNNNNNNNNNNNNNNNNNNNNNNNNNNNNNNNNNNNNNNNNNAACACAGUUUUGAACUCAAAAGGACAUGCAUAUAUUUGAGCCACCCAAUGCAAGGAACAAAAGAUUUGGUGUCCACCGGAAAAAAAUAUUCACAAUUCCAUCGAAUGUUGUUAGUGCUGGAUGCCACAUUUGUAGAAAAAUCAGGCUCAGACUUGUGAGAAGGAGAUAUACCUCACUCAUGAUGAUCUAUCACGCACAGCUAAGCCGAUAGAUAAGAAAUUAAUUGGCGACCGUAUUGUCGGAUUUCGGGCUCCACAAAGCCCUAAGGAUCCGAACANNNNNNNNNNNNNNNNNNNNNNNNNNNNNNNNNNNNNNNNNNNNNNNNNNNNCUAAGGAUCCGAACACUGGGGCGUGUAUGAAGAUCUCCCCUGCUUCGCCUCGCAUGUCUCACUACUCGAUGGAAACAAUGAAGGACUCACUCGAAGGUUCAGGCCGCUGCGAAGCAUAAAACACUACACCUGCUUUGAUGGAUUGCCUCUCUCUGAGGUUGAGGAACGAGAUGGUACACGACUUUUGCGCCUCCAGAGGCCAAGUGGCUAAGCGUGCUGCUCUAGGGUUUCGAUCCCCUCUCUCAACUAUCCUACCCUAUCUAUUUAUAGUGGAGGCCCGGGUCCUCUUCCCUNNNNNNNNNNNNNNNNNNNNNNNNNNNNNNNGGGUCCUCUUCCCUCUUAGCUUUGGCGGGAAGGGAUUCCACAACGACCAAUUUUGAAGGGGAACAUGCUCCCCUAACAAGAGAUGGUCUUCACCUGCAAAGUAAUUGUCCACCCCAUAGAGACCGGCUCGUGGAUGACGUUUGCCCUACUGGCGGGAGACUGCGGCUUUGUUGCACCAGAAGAUAAACCUUUGGGGGAUGCCUUUGGGAAGCAUGUACGCCCCACCUCCUUUGCACCAAAGGGGAAACUAUCUCGUCCUGCCAUAUGCUGCUCGCCUAUCCUUCCCUGGUGUCACCCUUGACUGCCGAGGACCGGCCCUGCCUCGUAAUAUCCACCAAUCCGGACGGGUCCUGAAGAGGCCCCCCUACGGGUCUUGACGCUGCUCCUCCUCAUGAGGCUUAGCUCCUCACGAGGGCCUGCCCUUAAGCCGUGCUGGGUGAUACGUCUCCAUCGUAUCUACUUUUCCAAACUCUUUUUCCCUUGUUUUGCACUCUAGUUUGCAUGAUUUGAAUGGAACUAACCCGGACUAAUGUUGUUUUCAGUAGAAUUGUCAUGGUGUUGUUUUUGCGCAGAAAUAAAAGUUCCCGGAAUGACCUGAAAAUUUACGAAGAAUUUUUUGUGGAAUAUAUAAAAAAUACUAGCGCAAGAAUCAACCGAAGAAGUGGAGCGUGGAGCCCACAAGCCCACCAGGCGUGCCCCCCUGGCCGCGCCUAACAGGUUUGUGGGGCCCACAUUGCUCCACCGCCUCCCAUUCCACCNNNNNNNNNNNNNNNNNNNNNNNNNNNNNNNNNNNNNNNNNNNNNNNNNNNNNNNNNNNNNNNNNNNNNNNNNNNNNNNNNNNNNNNNNNNNNNNNNNNNGAGCACAUACUCAAAAUGUUUGGGUUACACGGUCGUCUGACUUCACUUGGAGUCGAACUUCCGGAUGAUGCUAUAAUUGACUGAAUCCUCCAGUCUCUCCCAUCAAGCUACAAAGGCUUUGUGCUUAACUACAACAUGCAAGGGAUGGAGAAGACCAUUCCCGAGUUGUACUCGAUACUCAAGUCUGCAGAAGUAGAAAUCAAGAAAGAGCAUCAAGUGUUGAUGGUCAACAAGACCACUAGUUUCAAGAAGGGCAAGGGUAAGAAGAACUUCAAGAAAGACGGCAAAGCUGUUGCUGCGCCCGGUAAGCCAGAUGCUGAGAAGAAGAAAAAGAAUGGACCCAAGCCUGAGACUGAGUGCUUCUAUUGCAAGGGAAAAGGUCACUGGAAGCGGAACUGCCCCAAAUACUUAGCGGACAAGAAGGCCGGCAACGUUAAAGGUAUAUGUGAUAUACAUGUUAUUGAUGUGUACCUUACCAGCGCUCUUAGUAGCUCCUGGGUAUUUGAUACCGGUGUUGUUGCUCACAUUUGCAACUCAAAGCAGGAACUGCGGAAUAAGCGGAGACUGGCCAAGGACGAGGUGACGAUGCGCGUCGGGAAUUGUUCAAAGGUCGAUGUGAUCGCCGUCGGCACGCUACCUCUACAUCUACAAUCGGGAUUAGUUUUGAACCUUAAUAAUUGUUAUUUAGUACCAGCUUUAAGCAUGAACAUUGUAUCAGGGUCUUGCUUAAUGCGAGACGGCUACUCAUUUAAGUGAGAGAAUAAUGGUUGUUCUAUUUAUAUGAGUGAUAUGUUUUAUGGUCAUGCUCCGCUGGUAAAUGGUUUAUUCUUGAUGAAUCUCGAUCGUGAUGUUACACAUAUUCAUAGUGUGAGUACCAGAAAAUGUAAAGUUGAUAAUGAUAGUCCCACAUACUUGUGGCACUGCCGCCUUGGUCAUAUCAGCGUUAAGCGCAUGAAGAAGCUCCAUACAGAUGGACUAUUAGAGUCUCUUGACUUUGAAUCAUUUGACACAUGCGAACCGUGCCUCAUGGGCAAGAUGACUAAGACUCCAUUCUCAGGAAUAAUGGAGAGAGCAACCGACUUAUUGGAAAUAAUACAUACCGAUGUGUGUGGUCCAAUGAACGUUGAAGCUCGCGGUGGUUAUCGUUAUGUUCUCACUCUCACCGAUGAUUUGAGUAGGUAUGGGUAUAUCUACUUGAUGAAGCACAAAUCUGAGACGUUUGAAAAGUUCAAGGAAUUUCAGAGUGAGGUUGAGAAUCAACGUGACAGAAAAAUUAAAUGUCUACGAUCUGAUCGUGGAGGAGAAUAUUUGAGUCACGAGUUUGGCACACACCUAAGGAAGUGUGGAAUCGUUUCACAACUGACGCCNNNNNNNNNNNNNNNNNNNNNNNNNNNNNNNNNNNNNNNNNNNNNNNNNNNNNNNNNNNNNNNNNNNNNNNNNNNNNNNNNNNNNNNNNNNNNNNNNNNNCAUUGUGAUCUAUUUAUUCACACAUGUAUUACUGUUUCCUGUUAAUACAAUUAUAGCAUGAACAAUAGACGAUUAUCAUGAACAAGGAAAUAUGAUAAUAACCAUUUUAUUAUUGCCGCUAGGGCAUAUUUCCAACAGUCUCCCACUUGCACUAGAGUCGAUAAUCUAGUUACAUUGUGAUGUAUCGAACACCCAUAGCAUUAUGGUGUUGAUCAUGUUUCGCUCGUGGAAGAUGUUUAGUCAACGGGUCUGCAAUAUUCAGAUCCGUGUGUACUUUACAAAUAUCUAUCACUCCACUCUGGACAUGGUCCUGGAUGGAGUUGUAGCGGCAUUUGAUGUGCUUUGUCUUCCGGUGAAAUCUGGGUUCCUUGGCUAUGGCAAUGGCCCCAGUGUUAUCACAGAAGAGUGUCAUUGGACCCGACGCGCUUGGAACCACUCCAAGGUCGGUGAUGAGCUCCUUCAUCCAAAUUCCUUCAUGAGCUACUUUUGAAGAAGCUAUGUACUCCGCUUCACAUGUAGAUGCUGCCACGACUUCUUGCUUGCUACUGCACCAGCUCACCGCCCCACCAUUCAACACAUAUACGUAUCCGGUCUGUGACUUAGAGUCAUCCGGAUCUGUGUCGAAGCUAGCGUCGACGUAACCCUUUACGACGAGCUCUUCGUCACCUCCAUAAACGAGAAACAUUUCCUUAGUCCUUUUCAUGUACUUAAGGAUAUUCUUGACCGCUGUCCGGUGCUCCAUACCGGGAUCACUUUGGUACCUCCCUACCAAGCUUAUGGCAAGGUUUAUAUGAGGUUGGGUACACAGCAUGGCAUACAUUAGAGAGCCCACGGCUGAUGCGUAGGGGACAUAACUCAUCUUCUCUCUAUCUGCUGCCGUGGUCGGCGACUGAGUCUUAGUCAAUCUCAUAGCUUGCAAAACUGGCAAGAACCCUUUCUUUGAGUUUUCCAUAUUGAACUUCAAUAUCUUGUCAAGGUAUGUACUUUGCGAAAGACCUAUGAGGCAUCUCGAUCUAUCUCUAUAGAUCUUGAUGCCUAAUAUGUAUGCAGCUUCUCCAAGGUCCUUCAUUGAAAAACUCUUGUUCAAAUAGGCCUUUAUGCUCUCCAACAUCUCUAUAUUAUUCCCCAUCAAUAAUAUGUCAUCCACAUACAGUAUGAGGAAAGCUACAGAGUUCCCACUCACUUUCUUGUACAGUCAGGCUUCUCCGUAAACCUGUAUGAACCCAAACGCUUUAAUCACCUCAUUAAAGCGAAUGUUCCAACUCCGAGAUGCUUGCACCAGCCCAUAGAUGGAGCGCUGGAGCUUGCACACUUUGCUAGCACCCUUAGGGUNNNNNNNNNNNNNNNNNNNNNNNNNNNUUGCUAGCACCCUUAGGGUCGACAAAACCUUCUGGUUGCGUCAUAUACAACUCUUCCUUAAGGUUCCCGUUAAGGAACACUGUUUUGACGUCCAUUUGCCAAAUUUCAUAAUCAUAAAAGGUGACAAUUGCUAACAUGAUUCGGACUGAUUUCAGCUUCGCUACGGGAGAGAAAGUCUCUUCGUAGUCAACUCCUUGAAUUUGUCGAAAACCCUUUGCGACAAGUUGAGCUUUGUAAAUGGUUACAUUACCGUUUGCAUCAGUCUUCUUCUUGAAGAUCCAUUUACUUUCUAUGGCUCGCCGCUCAUUGGGCAAUUCCACCAAAGUCCAUACUUUGUUCUCACACAUGGAUCCUAUCUCGGAUUUCAUAGCCUCAAGCCAUUUGUUGGAAUCCGGGCCCGCCAUCGCUUCUUCAUAGUUCGAAGGUUCACCGUUGUCUAACAACAUGAUUUCCAUCACAGGGCUGCCGUACCACUCUGGUGCGGAGCGUGCCCUUGUGGACCUUCGCGGUUCAGUAGUAACUUGAUCCGAAGCUUCAUGAUCAUCAUCAUUAACUUCCUCUUCAGUUGGUGUAGGCGCCACAGGAACAACUUCCCGCGUUGAGCUACUAUCCUGUUCGAGAGGGGGUGUAAUUACCUCAUCAAGUUCUACCUUCCUCCCACUUACUUCUUUCGAGAGAAACUCUUUCUCUAGAAAGGAUCCGUUCUUGGCAACAAAGGUUUUACCUUCGGAUCUAAGNNNNNNNNNNNNNNNNNNNNNNNNNNNNNNNNNNNNNNNNNNNNNNNNNNNNNNNNNNNNNNNNNNNNNNNNNNNNNNNNNNNNNNNNNNNNNNNNNNNNGUGAUAGUGAUGAUGAUGAUGCAUUUAUUGAUGAUGAUUAUUAGUUUGUAAGAUUCACAACUUAAAUUAUAUAUAUUUUAAUCUUUAUUAUUCAUGUACAUAUUAUUAUUCAUGUCAGUUAUUCAAUUUUUUUAUGUUGUACUAAUUUCUUUUAAUCUUUAUCAUGGCAGGUCACCUGGUGUUGAAAGAUGGUGGGCGCUGGUCCAGAGCGCUCGACGGGUUCUUCCCAGCCGCCCCGCACGAGGGGUGGUACUUCCCUUCCACCCCUAUGUCUCCGUAGAGCCUUGGCAGACAGUCUGUCGACACCACCCGUGGGUUCUUCUUCGUCGGCGGCAUUGCCCACUGGGAGAGGUGCUCUUCGGGUAGGGAAGAAGGGGAAGGGUACAUGGAGAGGUGGUGGCCACGGAAGAUCCAGGAGGACUGUUGAGCCGUCCUCGCCACCACCACCAGCUCAUUCACCCGAGCAUACGACUACUAUGGUCGACCCGUUUGCGGAAGAGGCUACGGGGACUCCGGUCUAGGAGCGUGGUGUUGACGGGCAUUCGUCCCAUGAGACUCCGGUCCAGGAUCAGCCUCGGGUCGAGGUGCAUUCGUCCCACGAGACUACGUUUCCGGAGGCUUCACCCGACGUGGAGAGGCCCGGAUGGGAUACCUGGCCGGAUCGGACCGAGUUGCCGGAUUGGACCGAGGGUCCGAGUGGCUCAGGGGGCUGGGAUGGCGGGGAUGAGUUUACGGAUAGUGAGGGCGAUGUGCAGGUGGACGGGGCCACCGUGUACAAGAGUGGUAGUACACGUCUCCCGGUCGUGCCGGCUACCCGCGAGCAGAGGCCGGUGAUUAAACCUGAAGGAGAUAGGUAAGUACAUUUACUCUUUUUUAGCUUUUGCCUUCAAGUUUGUUCAAAUAUCUAAUGUGUUGACCUUAUCAUACUGCAGGGGAUGGGUACACCCUAUUGGAGUCCGCAGGCCGAACUCCGUCCUUGGUGUGCUUUGCCGGACAAAUUUCCCGGGGUUUGUCACGUUGCUUGGUGAGGGUCAGGUUCCUACACUAGGAUUUUCCUGGGAGCACUACCAGGCUGCGCAAGCCCCGCCGGAAGAGAUUAUAGAUGGUGUCUUGUGACACACGAGGGUCGAGAUGGUGAUCAAGAGCUUUUGGGUAAAUUAUCCUUUUACACAAUCUAAAAUUAACAAGAUAAGUAAUUAUUGUACUAAUCGGUGUUUUCACGUUUGAUUGCAGACCUUCUAUAGGUGUGAGGAUGGAUAUGAGGAGGAGGCGGCCAAGGUUCUCGAGGCCGAGUGUAGGCGGUUACUACAGAACUUAUGCCACGAGGCUCGGCCGCAGGCUAUUCGAGACUACUAUGCCACGCGUGGUAUUAAGAAGCAGAAGAAGGAUUGCCGCGGAAAGUUUCUGAAGAAGGAGCAAUACAUGAAGGUAAUUACCUAUUCUUAAGUCCUUAUACGUAGUUUUCUUGAUUUCAUUCAUAGGCGUAGCGCUCAAAAUUCUUUCUAAUAACUUACAGGUGCCCCCGAGAUGGUGUGCGGAUAAGAUGGAUUGUUGGGAGGCGUUGGUUGAUGAGUGGUGCACAGGCAGCUGGCGAGCCGUCCACGAGAAUGCGAAGGAUCGGCAUAGCCAAAUGGUUGGUGUGCCACACCAUCAAGGCAACGCCAACUUACUUCAGUUUGGACGAAACUGGGUAUGUGAUUUGCUUCAUGAUUCAUGCAAUUCGUUCUUCAUGCUAGUGUUUUGAUCCUCUCUUUUAGGCGCAUCACAAUAAUACGGAGAUGCCACACUUGUACGACCUUUAUGGCAUGGCCCAUACUGCCUCGUACAAGAAGGCGAAGGCAUUCUCUGAGUCUGACCUGGAUGAUCCCAAUAACUUCACCAACAUAUCAUCCCACCACAAGCUCGUGGCAUACAGGGACGCGGGGAAGGCUAUGAAAGGGGAUGACUUUAACCCUAGCCAGGAACCUUUGGAUCCAAAGCUGGUGAUGAUAUCUGGUGGCAGGAGGCCCCAUGGCUCGAUAGCCAUUGGAGCUGGGAUAAUACGUUGUCCACUCACUCUCCCGGAGAUCAAGGCGCGCCAGUCGAGCAGUUGUCCUGAGAUAACGCGUCGUCCACGGCCAGUCGAUCUUGCCAUCGAGGUUAGUUGUACGGACUAAGAACACUUUCAUCCAUUUCAUUAUGUGUGUCACCAUAGAUCAUUACUGUGGUAACUAGGAGUGGUGUUUCAGGCUGCUCUUCGGAAAGAGAGGUUGGCAAACUAGGCUGCUCUUGAGAAAGAGAGAUUGGCAAACCAGGCUGCUCUUGAGAAAGAGAGAUUGGCAAGCCAGGCUGCUCUUGAUGAGAGGGACCAGACCACGACACGAUUGAUUGAGGAGGAGAGGUCCCGAAAUGAGGCGGGUCAACGGGCCGUGUAUGAGCUUUUUGUGGUAAGUUUUUUUUCACAUUAGCCAAAUCAUGUGUGUAAUGUCUGUUUCAUUACUAACUAAUACGACCCACUCUUCACGGUCAGUGCGAGAUGAGCGGUCAAGUCCCUCCGUCGAUGCCCGUCUUCUCUUCGAUUAGCAUGGUGAGUUUUAUUAUAAACUAGUAUUAAUAAUUUAGUGUCAUCAUGCUAACUCAGACAUUGCAAAAUAUCUAUUCUGCAGAAUAACUCCCGAGCGGCAUCGCCCGACCCUUCUCCACGUAUUUCUCCUCCUUGAUGACCACUACGGUAAGUUUAUAUUCUCCUCUUUCAUAUAAUGACAUAGUUAGCUAAUUUAGCUCCAAGAAGAGGAGAAGAGGAGGAGGAGGAGAAGGAGGAGAAGGCCAAGGACCUUCUAGUCCUUCUCCUCGUCCUCCUCCUUCUCCUCCUUCUUCUUUAUUUCUUCUUCUCCUCCUCCUCCUCCUCUUUCUUCUCCUCUUUCAUAUUCUCCUUGCCUUAAUUUCCCCAACAAUGACAUAAUUAGCCCAUUUAGCUCCAAAAUGCCAUAAUAACCUCAAAAUGGCAUAAGAACCUUGGUUAGCUCAUUAAUAUUAUAUACUUAGCUUGUUUUCCUCUAAAAUGGGACAAUUAGCCCAUUUAGCUCCAAAAAUACAUAGUUAGCUAAUUUAGCUCCAAGAAGAGGAGAAGAGGAGAAGAAAUAGGAAAAAUGAAAAGAAAGAAGAAGAAGAAGAAGAGAAGAAGGAGAAGGAGGAGGAGGAGGAGGAGAAGAAGAAUAAAUAAAGAAGAAGGAGGAGAAGGCCAAGGACCUUCUAGUCCUUCUCCUCCUCCUCCUCCUUCUCCUCCUUCUUCUUUAUUUCUUAUUCUUCUUCUCCUCCUCCUCUUUAUUCUCGUCUUUCAUAUUAUCCUUGCCUUAAUUUCCCUAACAAUGACAUAAUUAGCCAAUUUAGCUCCAAAAAGACAUUAUAAGCUCAAAAUGGCAUAAGAACAUUGGUUAGCACAUUAAUAUUAUAUACUUAGCUUGUUUUCCUCUAUAAUGACAUAGUUAGCUAAUUUAGCUCCAAGAAGAGGAGAAGAGGAGAAAUGAAAAGGAAGAACAAAAAGAAGAAGAGAAAGAGAAGAGAAGGAGAAGGAGAAGAAGGAGGAGGAGAAGAAGGAGAAGGAGGAGGAGGAGGAGGAGGAGGNNNNNNNNNNNNNNNNNNNNNNNNNNNNNNNNNNNNNNNNNNNNNNNNNNNNNNNNNNNNNNNNNNNNNNNNNNNNNNNNNNNNNNNNNNNNNNNNNNNNGAGAAGGCCAAUGUGGCCGUCGAACGCUGCAAAGAGGUGGAAUCCCGCCUGAGCGCCCUCCAAGGGGAACAUGCCAAGCUAGUCGAGCAACGCCGCUCGAAGGAGGAGGAACUCAAGGCCUGUGAGGCCAAGCUUGCCGCCCGGGAGAGGGAGCUGUCCCGGGAGACGAACCGCCUGGGAGCAGAACAGGAGCUCUUGGUUGAGCGGGAGAAGGAUGCCACNNNNNNNNNNNNNNNNNNNNNNNNNNNNNGCGGGAGAAGGAUGCCACCACGAAGGAGGCUCUCCUUGAGGCCUGGGAGAAGGCCCUCGCCGCAGCCAAGGAAAAGAAGGCCUCCGAGCUGGCAUGCUUCCCCGACGUCGAGCUUGUGCUUCGCAAGGCGAUCCACUACCUCUGUCGGGGUGGGUUUGACGAGCCUCUGGCUACCCCGGAGGAAAGCAUUUCCAUGCUCGCGAAUGGGCUCGUCACAGCGCUGCGGGAUGCCGUCAUGCAGAUCGACAAGUCCUUGGCGAGUGAAUGCCACGACCUCUUCUUCGCGGUCGUGACUCGUGUCUUCAGCCACGUUCAUCUUCGCGACCCCGAAUUUGAUCUAAGCUUCGUGAUCAUGUGGUUCCUCCCAGGGCCCGCGACCGCGUCGUGGAGUCGGUGAAGGGUCUUGUGGAGGCGUUGGUGAGGAAGUUCGCCCGCGUCGUGCCCCCCUCGUCACCAGGUACCGCUAGAGGCGACGAUAGGGAAGACAAUGCCUCCGAUGUCGACGACCAGCCCCCUGUGGAGGGGGUGACCGACGGCGGCUCCUCUUGAUCUACUGCACUUGUUAUUUCUCUGCAAUGCACAUCGUGCCUCGUGGAGGCGUCAAACUUAUUUGUGUUUUUUAUGAACUGGGUCAUGGUCUGUAAUAAUUGAAUGCUCGAUUGUUUUCCUCGGCUUGUUCCUAUCAUUUUUUCCGUGUUUCUCUAUGUCGGCAAGGCCGGCCCUGCUCGUACCUUCCCGUGAUUGGACUGACCGGAAACCAAGGACAACCCAAAGGGGGAAGGGGCUAUGAGCGCAGUUAGGCUCCUGAGUCGCGAUGCUCAGGAAUCCCCCUUGACGCGCAAGCUCCUCUCAUGAGGAGGACGUGGUGAAGAUUCCGAAACUUAGAACAUUUUCAGCACUCUGUGUCGGGAGAGCCUGCCCCGCGCAUACCUCGCCGCGAUUGAACCAACCAGAAACCAAGGACGGCCCAAAGGGGGAGUGGCUAUGAGCGUAGUUAGGCCCGUGAGUCGUGAUGCUCAUGGGUGCCCCUUGACGUGCGAGCGACUCCGAUCCUCUUCGUAAGAAACCGAUGGUGUGAGACUCUCGAACUCCUUCAACACUCUGCAUCUGCAGGGCCCGCCCCACGCGUACCUCCCCGCAGUUGAGCCGACCUGAAAGGGGUGGCUAAAAAGGGAAAGGGGCUACGGGCACAGUUCAGGCUCCUGAGUCGCGAUGCUCAGGAGUCACACUUGACAUGCGAGUGACUCCAGCAUUCUUCCUAAGGGAUUUAAAGCGACUUGUUGAGCGCAUUGGGCUAUGUGUCCGCAGGGCCCGCCCCCUGCGUACCUUCCUGCGAUUGAACCGUCCAAGGACGGCCCAAAGAGCGAAGGGGCUACGAGCAUAGUUAGGCCGCUGAGUCGCGAUGCUCAGGGGUCCCCCUUGAUGUGCGAGCGGCUCCGUACCUUCAGUUGUUUGCCCACACGCUGGGUGUGGGCGGAGCUGUGGAUGUAUUGCGCUGAUCCCCUCGAUGGCCUUGGGUGUAGCCAUUGGCGGGCUGUGUUAAUGCCGGUUGAGGGCGUAGUCAUCGGCGGACUAUAUUGGUUGCCCAUGUAUGUACCCAGCGCGGAGCAUAGGUCUUCUACUAGGCAUAGGGUGGACCCCUCCGUGUCCUCGGGGGGCCCUGGGCGUAUAUAGCCUCGGCUCGUUAUUACGUUAGAGUGUCACGGUGGGGGUGUAUAUGGGAGGUCGCGAGAAAGAUAGGGCCUUGCAAGUGUCCCUACCCCGAGGCAUCGGGGCCUGAUCUUCUCCCCAGCGUGGAGCGUAGGUCUGCCACUCGGUAUAGGAUGGACCCCAACNNNNNNNNNNNNNNNNNNNNNNNNNNNNNNNNGACCCCAACGUGUCCUCGGGAGGCCUUGGGCGUAUACAGCCUCGGCUCGUUAUUACGUGAGAGAGUCACAGUGGGGUGUAUAUGGGAGGUCGUGAGGAUGCUAUGGCCUCGCGAGUGUCCCUACCCCCGAGUCAUUGGUGGACUGAAUUGACUUGGUUUGGGUCAUUGGCAAACCCUGCUCACUUCUUCUUUAGGAGAGGGGCUCCGCACCUGCACGAACAAACUUUGACCGGAGCCCCCAAGCGGGGGCCGAUCGCCCGACAAUAUAACCAAGGCGGAACGUUAGGAUGCCAAGCAGGUGCAAUUGAACAACCAAAUGAUGCAUAAACGAAAGUAGUAGCUGGGGAAAGUACAGAGCUCGGGGAGGCCGCAUGGCCCUGGGGUUACCUAUGGACUGGGCGAACCGAAAGGUUACCUGGCAGCGGCCAGCAAAAAGUUACCUAGCGGCCGAGCUGCUGAAGUGCCGGAGGCUCUGUUGUCGCUUGAUUUCCUGGAUCCGCAGUCGCGACCCUCACGGGUCCAUCGCCCCCCGAUCUAGGGGCCUUCGCUUGGCCCGAGCAUCUUCUCCUCCUCCUCGUGGCGCCCAAGCACGCAAGGGAGGAGAAUGGCCUGCUGGAGCCUCUGGUACGUGGCAGCCGCGUUCCUCAGCCCGGAGAGCAUGAAGGCUUCAGUGCUCGGGUACUCCCACCAGUAGCCAGUCUGCGUAGGACAGAAGGGGUCGUGCGCCAUGGCUGCGUUGGUUGCAGACGCGUUAAUGCAGAUGCGGGGCCGGUCAACUGUGCAGACAGCGGCGACUGCGAUGGGUGGUGCGGGGCAGUUACCGUGUCGCAUGGUCUGGGCCUCGAGAAGUUCUCGGAUUUCUUUGAUGACGGACUCGCGAGAUCUGGUCGAACGUGCUCCGGAGUGCGCCCUCGGGAUGUGCUCAGACACCGCCUCUGUCUCACUGAUCAGGCUAGGGGCCUCCCCGGUGGGAGCCCCCUAGCCCUGAUCUAAGAGGGACGCCGAGCGCACAUCCCUAUGCGAUGGGGGGCAGGGAUCCGUCCCCGAGCAUCGAACACAAAGCCCCGAGGCACUCCGCAGGGAGGAACUCCUUCUUGAGCGGGGCUUCGUGAGGCAGCUCGUCAUCUUCAUCAUUUGAGCGUUCUGACGUUGCCGCACGGUACGCUCUCUCCAGUGCGUAGACAUCAUCCUUCUCAUGACAGGGUAUGGUGAUGUCACCACCGCUUCCCGGCAUCUUGAGGACAUUCUAUCCAUGGUGGACCACGACCAUGAACUUGGCAAGCACUGGUUACCCGAGGAUGGCAUUGUAUGGCAGAUGGAUGUGCGCGACGUCGAAGAGGAUGACCUUGGUGUGAUAGUUGUGGCGCUCGCCAAAGGUGACGGGCAGGUGCACUUGCCCAAUGGGUACGGUGGAUCCCUUUGUUACCCCUGAGAAGGGCUUGGUCGGCAUGAGUUGCUCAUACGGCAGCUGGAGCUUCUCGAAGGUCUCGACUGAGAGGAUGUUGAGCCCAGCUCCACUCUCAAUGAGAGUCUUGGUGACGAGGACGUUGCUGAUAGUUGGGGUGCACAUCAUUGGGAGCUUGCCAGCCAGGAACGAGCACCUGAGCUGGUCGCUUGGGUCGAAAGCAAUGGUGGUCUGGGACUAGUUGAGGGGACGUAUCGCUUCAGGCCUCGGGAGGGCGACAUUCACCUCCUGGGACAACUGCAUGAAGGCGUGGUUGGAUGCUGGGGUCUGGGCACCACCCAGGAUGGAAGCUAGUGCCCUGGCAUUCUGGAAGCCCCCAGCCCUGUCGUCUUGCUUGUCUUCGUUCCUCCUCCUGGGCUGCAGGGGCAGCGAGGGCAGCCUGGUCUCUCGAGGGCGAGCCUCACGAGGUUGGCCGCUUCGCUGGCCCUCCUGAGGAUUAUCACGCCAGCGGUCCUCCUGAGGUUGGCCAUGCCAGGGGUCCUCCUGAGGCUUCUCAUGCCACCCCUGACGUGGCUCACGAUCAUCCCAGCGGACCCCAUUGCGGCCUCCUCCAUGCAGGGUUUCUGUAGAACUGUCCGGGAUCCUGUUGAAGUGUUUGGCAUGAACCAAACGUAGUUCUUGACAUUCAGAGGUGUCAUGGCCGAUGGUGCAAUGGAAGAUGCACGUCGGCCCUCCUCCAGAGGGGCGCUCUCCCCCCUCGAGUAUGCUUCGUUUCAGGCUCGGCGGCUAGUACCGCUGGGGCCUUGCGCUUCAGCUCCUUGGCUUUGGCCUUCUUCUCUUCUGGGUCCGCCGCCUGGGGCCCAAGGAGCGAUAGGCGUCCUUCUUCCGCCUUGGCGCACUUGCUUGCCAAGUUGAACAUCUCCAAUGCGGUGCUCAUUUCAUCGUUCAUGGCAAGCUCUUCCUUCAUCUUGAGGUCGGUGACUCCGUUGGAUAAAGACGAUACGACAGCCUCAUCCGACGCCUUAGGGAUCAUGAGGCGCAUGACAGUCAAACAUUGUAUGAACUUGUGCAGGUUAUCCACCUCUUGCUGCUUGACGCGCCGCAGGUCGAUCACGGUGGGAGCGCGGUCGCGGGUGCCCUGGAAGUUGGCGAUGAAGCGCUCACGCAAGCCGUCCCAGGAGGUAAUGGACGCCUUUGGGAGGUUGAGGAGCCAUGAAAGCGCGCCACCCUUGAGCGCCAUCGGGAACCAACAUGCCAUGAUCUUGUCGCCACCUCCUGCCGCCUUGAUGCUCAGUGUGUAGAGUUGCAGGAACUCUGUCGGGUCUUGGUUUCCGUCGUAACAUGGGGGCAGGUCGGGCUUGAACUUGCAGGGCCAUGUGCCGGGGUAGAUAUCGGGGGCGAUGGUGAAGCACCCCACCGGUCCAACAAGCACAGUACGCGCGGGGGCUGCCUGGUCUUGUUGUUCCUCAGGGUCUGCCUCGAGCAGAGCACGCUCCGGGCGCGAGAUCUACAACGCCAGGGGAGCGCACGCGUUGGCGCGGGGCCUGGGGAUCAUCUGGCAGCUUGCUUCAUCCCCGGGCCUCGCCCUGGGUUCACGCGGCCGAGCACGGAGUCGUGCUUCCUGCCCGGGCUCGGGGUCCGCGACAUGCCGCGGAGGCGAGUAUGGCGCGUCUUGCUCCUCGUUGUUCGUCAGGGACGGCUAGGGCCGGAGCAAGCAGGAGAGUGCCGCUGAGUCACCAGCGGCGGCGAUGAGUUCCUCGAUGCGAUGGAUCGAGUUGUCAUGGCGGUCUAGAGCUGGUCGGUAAGGGAGAAGCUCGGUGGUCAUGGCAAGCGGGCGGCGGCCAUGGGGCCUCCCUAGCCGAGCGCGGGAUGCCGACGCCGAAGGCCUGACGAGCGACGGCGUGGCGGUGCAGCUGUCGACAUGCUCAGUCGGAGGUUGGGAGCAGCCCUGUUGCUCUAGAGCUUCGGGGCUGGUAGCAGCAUUCACCACGGGUGACGGUGACCGACACGCACCGGCAGCACCGACGGGUGCGGUCCGGGCGAUGCGGGUGGCGCGAUGUUCCGCACGUACCCGGUGUGUAUCAGCCAUCAGAGCCAUGGAGUUUGGUGAGGACGGAGCUUGGAGUAAACCUCGACACGCCCCUACCUGGCACGCCAAAUGUUGGAUUUCGGGCUCUGCAAAACCCUAAGGACUCAAACACUGGCGCGUGUACAAAGAUCUCCCCUUCUUCGCCUCGCCUGUCUCACUACUCGAUGGAAACAAUGAAGGACUCACUAGAAGGUGAGGAGAACACAGAACCCAGCAACUUACCCAGGUUCGAGCCGCUAUGAAGCGUAAAACCCUAAUACUGCUUUGGAGGAUUGCCUCUCUUCAAGGUUGAGGAACGAGAUGGUACAUGGCUUUUGCGCCUCCGGAGGCCAAGUGGCUAAGCGUGCUGCACUAGGGUUUCGAUCCCCUCUCUCAAGUAUCUGUUGGGCAAGGUUGCAUGGGAAACAAAAAAAUUCCUACGCACACGAAGACCUAUCAUGGUGAUGUUCAUCUACGAGAGGGAGGUCAUAUCCACAUACCCUUGUAGAUCGCUAAGCACGAAGUGUUAAGAAAUGUAGUUGAUGUAGUGGAACAGCUUUGUGAUUCAAAUCACCAUUGUCCCACGAUCCGUCCCGAUCUAGUACCGAACGGACCACACCUCUGCGUUCAGCGCACGUACAGCUCGAUGACGAUCUCUGCCUUCUUGAUCCAGCAAGAGAGACGGGGAUGUAGAUGAGUUCUCCGGCAGCGUGAUGGCGUGCUGGUGAUGGUGAUGAUCUAUUCCUACAGGGCUCCGCCCGACCUCCGCAAAAAACCGAUCUAGAGGAAGAACUACGAAGUAGAGGUUUAGGGUUUCAUGUGGCAAAGUUUUUUCUCAAGAACACUAAAAUCUCUAGUAUAUAUAGUAGGAGGGGAGGGGCUAGCCUUGGGGAUCAAGAGAGCCCCUAGGGCGUCGGCCGAGUGGAGGAGGAGGGACUCCCACUCCAAUUCGGUUUGGGAAGGAGGAGUCCCUUCCUUCCUUCCCACCUCCCUCUUUUUUUUCUCCUUUGAUUUUUCCUCUUGGACGAAAUAGCCCUAUUAGGCUGGCCUCACCAGCCCACCAAGGGCUGGUGCGCCACCCAUGGCCUAUUAGGUUCUCUCCCGGGUGGGUGGCCCCCUCCCGGUAAAAACCCGGAACCCAUUCAUCACUCCCGGUACACUGCCGGUAAUGCCCGAAAUCUUUCCGGAAGCCAAAUGAAACAAUCCUAUAUAUCAAUCUUCGUUUCCGGACCAUUUCGGAAACUCACUUGAUGUCUGUCAUCUCAUCCGGGAGUCCCAACAAACCUUCGGUCGCCAACACCUAUAACUCAACUAUACUGAAACGUCACCGAACCUUAAGUAUGCAGACCCUGCGGGUUCGAGAACAAUGCAGACAUGACCUGAGACACUCCCUGAUCAAUAUCCAAUGGAGGGACCUGGAUGUCCAUAUUGGAUCCUACAUAUUCUACAAAGAUCUUAUCAGUUGAACCUCUGUGCCAAGGAUUCAUAUAAUCCCGUAUACCAUUCCCUUUGUCCUUCGGUAUGUUACUUUCCCGAGAUUCGAUCGUCGGUAUCCCUAUACCUAUUUAAAUCUCGUUACCGGCAAGUCUCUUUACUCGUUCUGUAAUACAAGAUCCUGUGACAAACACUUUAGUCACAUUUCUUGCAAGGCUUAUAUGUGAUGUUGUAUUACCGAGUGGGCCCCGAGAUACCUCUCCGUCACANNNNNNNNNNNNNNNNNNNNNNNNNNNNNNNNNNNNNNNNNNNNNNNNNNNNNNNNNNNNNNNNNNNNNNNNNNNNNNNNNNNNNNNNNNNNNNNNNNNNAGCAUGUUUUCUCGAGCCAUGUUGGUACAUGAACAUGGACAUACACAUAUUCUUAGGAACAAAUAAGAAAGAUAAAUGGAGAAGGAAAACCCAAAGCAAUGUCAGAGUUGACAAAACUGCAAUGGCACUUUAUAUGUGGCCCAUCGUCAGUGAGCUGUUUAUGCCUUGCCGGACUCCUCGCAGCCUGGUGGCUUGAAGGCGAUGAAGCUGACGCACUGCACCUGACGCAUGUUGUCGAAUCCGAUGAUGCGGACAUACGCGUCAGGGUACUCCUUCUUGACCUCCUCCACCUCGUUGAGCACCUGUGUGGCGUCGGUGCAUCCGAACAUAGGCAGCUUCCACAUUGUCCAGUACCGGCCAUCGUAGUACCCAGGAGAUGCGUUGUGCUCACGGAAGAUGAACCCAACCUUGCUGAACUCGAGGCAAGGCACCCACUUGGAGCGGAUCAGGUAGUCGACCUGCUUAAGGAGGGCCUCCGUGCUGAGUGGUGGCAAGUAAGACAGGGUCUCGAACUUCUUGAUGCCCUCGAUGGGCCACACCUGCAAAUCAGAUUCACGUCUAUACAUUAAGAGACUAUAACUCUAGUUCUACACGUUUGAUUGUUCUUCUUGACAUCCGUCGGCUUAAAAAUGACUAGAAAGACAGAGACGAUGUUGUUUACCUGCAUGCACCUGAUCCUUCCACCGUUGCUGACGCUGCCGAGGCUAGCACCGUUCGAGCGGCGGCUGACGGGGAGGCCGGCGGUGGACUUGAGCCCCUGGAAAGGAGCGACGGAGGUGGCCGACGAGGCCAUCACGGUGGGGGCCAUAGCUGUACUAUGUAGGUAUAUAGCUUGCUAGAGGGAGGCACACUGGCUUGAGGACUG
rnacentral:lncRNA from 1 species